rnacentral:lncRNA from 1 species
GUAAAUAUGAAUAGUUGAAUAAAUUAAUGCCCCCAAAGUAGAAACACGCGAGCCAUUUCACAUUUGUUAACAAACAAUAUGAAGCAGAGCAUACCCUUGUUUUGUUUUCACAAAAUCAUUAAAUUACAAUAAUUCCUAGGACCUGAAAACACGUAUCUUCAACGAGUAGACAUAUAAUGCAAAGGAAAAUUCCUGUUGCGAUUUCCUUUUUGUCCCCCUGCUGCUGCUGCUGCACCUCCCAGUCCAACACGCUUCCCAAUGACUUCAAAUUCCUCACGUUCUUGAGUUACUCUUAUUUUAUUCUGGCAAUCAUCACCACAUGAGUUUUUCUCAAUAAAGAAAAACAAGAGGAGAAGCAAUACGAUUAAAACAAGAGAGAAGGAAAACUCCUCAUAGCAACAUUAAUGUCAGAGCAGGAACCUCAUUCUUGUGGCCUACUCUUGUUCUUUUUCUUGAUCCUUCUUUCAGGUACAGAUUCUUCUCUAUGUGAGCCUCUUAUUUUCUUUAUUGUAUUAUUCAGGAUUAGUAUUAUUUUAUUCUGUUGCAAAGUUGGUGAUUCUGUUAUAUUAACUUGUGGUUUUGAGUUAACCGAGGCAUUUCUUGUUUGGGUUUGGUUUUGGUAGGUAAAGUUGUUAUAGGGGAAUCCUUGGAAACAGACAGAGAGGUUUUGCUGAAGCUGAAAUCCUACCUGGACAGCAAAACUCUUCAAGACAAAGGAGCGUACAUACACUGGAACACAAGUAGCUCCAAUCCUUGUCAAUGGAGUGGAAUUUCAUGCAGUGCUACUGGGAGGGUGGUUCGCAUAGGCCUUUCUCAGAGUGACAUCACCGGUGAGAUAUUCAGGAAUUUCUCGCAGCUCACUGAACUCAGGUACCUUGAUCUCUCUCAGAACACGCUCUCUGGUGAGAUUCCUGAGGAUUUGAGGCGCUGCUACAAGCUCGUGCAUCUCAACCUAUCACAUAAUAUUCUUGAAGGGGAGCUGAACUUGACUGGACUGACAAGCUUGCACACACUGGACUUGUCAAAUAACAGAUUUUUUGGGGAUAUCGGGUUGAAUUUCCCUGCCAUUUGUGACAAUUUAGUCACUCUGAACGUCUCUGGUAAUAAUAACUUGACUGGCAGGAUCGAAAACUGCUUUGAUCAAUGUCUCAAGCUGCAGUACUUGGAUUUGAGCACCAACAGUCUGAGUGGAAGCUUGUGGAUGAAUUUUGCGAGGCUCAAAAUGUUUUCUGUGGCGGAGAACCAUCUGAGUGGGACUAUUCCUUUGGAAGCUUUGCCUUUGAAUUGCAGCCUUGAAGACCUAGACCUUUCACAAAAUGGUUUUGUUGGUGAGGCACCUAAGGGGGUUGCUAACUGCAAGAAUUUAAGCAGUCUGAAUCUUUCUAGUAACAAAUUUACCGGGGGUAUCCCUGUGGAAAUAGGAUCCAUUUCCCGGCUCAAAGCAUUGUACUUGGGGAACAAUACCUUUUCAAGAGAGAUUCCUGAGUCCCUUCUGAACUUAACCAAUUUGACCUUCUUGGAUUUGAGCAGAAACCAAUUUGGUGGGGAAAUACAAGAGAUAUUCGGGAAAUUUAGGCAAGUAAGUUUUCUUCUGUUGCACUCAAAUAACUACACUGGAGGAUUGAGAUCCUCAGGAAUUCUCACAUUGCCAAACCUUUGGCGGUUAGACGUAAGCUACAAUAACUUUUCAGGUCCGUUACCAGUUGAGAUCUCUCAAAUGUCAAGUCUGAAGUUUCUAAUGUUAUGCUACAACCAGUUCAAUGGAUCAAUUCCACCGGAAUUUGGAAACAUGACUCAACUGCAAGCGCUUGACCUUGCCUUCAACAAUUUGAGUGGGUCUAUACCACCAACCCUCGGAAAGUUAAACUCCCUCUUAUGGUUGAUGUUAGCAAACAAUUCUUUAACUGGAGAAAUCCCUCCAGAGUUGGGAAACUGUUCAAGCUUAUUAUGGCUAAACCUUGCCAACAAUAAGCUCUCUGGAAAGUUGCCUUCUGAACUGUCCAAAAUUGGAAGGAAUGCCACGACCACAUUUGAAUACAAUAGGCGAAACUAUAGAAUGGUUGCUGGAUCUGGUGAAUGUUUGGCAAUGAAGAGAUGGAUACCUGCAGAUUACCCUCCAUUCAGUUUUGUGUAUGACCUCUUAACAAGGAAAAAAUGUAGAGAACUUUGGGACAAAUUGAUCAAAGGGUAUGGUGUUUUCCCGUUUUGUACACCUGGUAAUUCCUCUCGCGUAACACAGAUAUCCGGGUAUAUUCAGCUAAGUUCGAACCAGCUCACUGGUGAAAUUCCUCCAGAGAUUGGGUCAAUGGUCAACUUCAGCAUGAUGCACUUGGGGUUCAACAAUCUCUCUGGGGAGUUACCUCGAGAGAUGGGAAGUGUAUCCAUAGUGGUAUUAAAUAUCACAAGAAACGAGUUUUCAGGCGAAAUUCCCCAAGAAAUUGGCAACAUGAAAUGUCUGAUGAAUCUGGAUCUGUCGUACAACAACUUCUCGGGAAUGUUUCCAACGAAUUUGAACAAAUUGACAGAGCUUAGCAAGUUCAACAUCUCAUACAAUCCCUUCAUAUCAGGUGAGGUCCCAUCCAACGGACAGUUUGCAACCUUUUUAGAAGAUUCAUAUUUAGGUAACCCCCAUUUGAAACUUCCCCAGUUUCUUCAGAACACUAGCAAUGACAGAAACACCACCUCUCAGAAAGACCAUAAAAAGUCCUCAAGACUACCUUUGCUUUUGGUGUUUGCGGUCAUAACACUGGUUUUCAUAGUAUGCGGACUUCUCACUAUCUUAGUCUGCGUAUCGGUGAAAGGCCCUUCAGAGGAACCAAGAUACCUCUUGAGGGACACAAAACAGUGGCAUGAUUCCAGCAGCUCCGGAUCCUCAUCAUGGAUGUCCGACACAGUGAAGGUCAUCCGUUUGAACAAGACAGCUUUCACACAUGCCGACAUUCUGAAAGCAACUGGCAGCUUCUCCGAGGACAGAAUCAUAGGAAAAGGAGGGUUUGGAACAGUGUACAAGGGAGUGUUUUCAGACGGCAGACAAGUGGCAGUGAAGAAGCUUCAAAGGGAAGGCCUGGAGGGUGAGAAGGAAUUCAAAGCUGAAAUGGAGGUUCUGAGUGGUCAUGGCUUUGGUUGGCCUCAUCCAAACCUGGUCACACUCUACGGCUGGUGCCUAAACGAGUCAGAAAAGAUACUAAUUUAUGAGUACAUAGAAGGUGGAAGCUUGGAGGAUGUAGUGAUUGACAGAACACGUUUGACAUGGAGGAGGAGGCUAGAAGUGGCAAUCGAUGUGGCACGUGCACUGGUGUAUCUACACCACGAAUGCUACCCUUCAGUUGUGCACAGAGAUGUGAAGGCCAGCAAUGUGUUACUAGAUAAAGAUGGGAAGGCGAAGGUAACUGAUUUUGGGCUUGCUAGAGUGGUUGAUGUUGGGGAUAGCCAUGUGAGCACUAUGGUGGCUGGGACAGUGGGGUACGUUGCGCCUGAAUAUGGACACACAUGGCAGGCUACUACAAAAGGGGAUGUGUACAGUUUUGGAGUUUUGAUCAUGGAGCUGGCAGCAGCAAGAAGAGCAGUGGAUGGAGGGGAAGAGUGCUUGGUGGAAUGGGCUAGGCGUGUUAUGGGUUAUGGACGACACCAUCAUCGUCAUCAUCACGGCUUGAGUCGCUCUGUGCCAGUUCUGCUGAUGGGUUCUGGGCUUGUUGGUGGGGCUGAGGAGAUGACUGAGUUGCUGAGGAUUGGAGUGAUGUGUACAGCUGAUGCACCACAGGCCAGACCGAACAUGAAAGAGGUUCUUGCUAUGCUGAUUAAGAUAUUUAACCUCAGGGACCACUCCACUUAUGGAUACAUUGUUUAGUCAUUUUUGUUUAGGAAUUCAUGCCCAGGAUGUAACAUACUUUACACACAUACACUUCAUCUCAUGCACAGUUCAUUCUUCUUCUUCUUAUCUACACACAUAACAACUCCCUCAAUUUUGUCAAACACCCAUUCCUUUCAUCAUUUUCUCAUAUUUUCUCUCCCAAUAUAAUGUCGGAUAAUAAUAUUUAGACAACAAUUUUUUGACAACAUUGGAACAUUAUAUAUGUAUCAUUAUGUGAUUGGUCUAUGACAAUGUUUAUGAUUAUUUUUAUUAACAGAAUGAUACAUGAUGUUCAAAUGUUGUCAAAAAAAAUAUUAUCUAAGUACCAUUAUUCAAUAUAAUAUAUCUCUAUAAUAUUGGUUGUAUUUUAAAAAUAUUAAGUUAUUCAAACUAUUAAGAAUAUGUUAUUUCUAAAAUAUAAAAGUAAUUUUGAAACAUAAACUACAAUAAUUUGCUUUUUGUAAUUACUUAUGUAUUUUUAUUAAAAGAAAUUAAUUCGUCAAUAAAUCUAAAAUUAUUGAUAAAUUUUAGAAUUUAAAUUUAUGAAGGAUUUCUUUACUAGUUUUGAAUUUGUUGAUACAAACGAAUUGUUUAAUAUUAAUGUAUUUAACAAUCAGUUUUGUUGUAUCUUCAUAUAUUAAGGGGAGCUGGUGAAAAAAAAAAAAAGAAAAAGAGGCAAAAUAAUAAUAAUGGUUUAACAAUAGUUUGAUGACGAAAUUAAAAAAAUAAAAAAACUAAAACUCAAUAUUUGGUGAUUUUUUUUUUCAAGUUGCUCCCUGUCUAAAUUUUUUCUCACACCACAGUCUUAGGAUAAACAGUUCGUCCUAAUCGCAUCAUUAGGAUAAAUACUUGUCCUAAUCACAUAAUCGUUAUCGUUUUGUUUUUUUUUUCUCAAUUAUCUGCAACUUGCUUCAUUCACUACCAUUUUGUAGAACUAUUUUUGUUGAGAUAUAUGACUUCACUUUUGUUGUACAGUUUAAUUAUCUACUAUUAUGCUAUGUAGUUAUCUACUAUUCUCUGUUUAAUUCAAUUUAAUUUUUUUUAACACCUCAACACUUAGAGGUUAUAUAUAUAAUUGUUGUAUUUUCUAAUGAGUUACAGAGAGUUUAUAAUUAAGAGAUUAAUGUUUAAUUUUUCUCUUCUCUAUUAUUUUUUUCAACCCAGAUUAAAACUAAAACCUAAAAUAUAUACACAGCAAAAUCAAAUAUUUUGAGGUUGAGAGUGCUAAAUCUUAUGUUUGAAACAUGUUCUCAUAUUGUUGCAACUUCUUUAUGUUUGACUAGGUUGAAAAAAAAAACUGAUUUUGCUAGUGUGGUCUAAAAUAAUUAAAUAUAUAAAUAUAGUCUUAUUGAAUCUUAUCCUUGUAGAAGAUUUAAGUGUCCAAAUUAGUUUUCAAAAUUAAUUUCAUUAUUUUACAUGCAUAAUCGGUCAUAAUAAAAUUAUCAACAAUAUUUUUUUUAAUGUAUGAUAAAAUUACGUGCAUAAUAAUUGAUCAUAAUAAAAUAUGAAUUUAUAUUUUGUAUGUAAUUUUAUUUGAUCUCAUUCUAAAAACUUAUAAAAUAGUUUUUUUGAAAUAUUAAUGUAUAUAAUUUUUUAAAAAUUUGUAAUUAUUUUUUAAAUAGAUAUAUGAUAAAUAAUUAGACAAAUUUUUUUAGUAUGCCUAACCUAACUCAUUUGUCUCCCCCUAUAUAUAUUUUCAACUCCGGUCGAUAUUGUUACAUUAUAAAUAAAAAUAAAAUUGUUAAACAAUAAACAAGAUAAUUAAUAAAAUCUGAAUUUUUUAACAAUCGCUAACUUUUAUUCAUAAUCGUCAUAAGAAAUUUUAUUUGUUCAAUUGAUAAAAAUUAUAACAAUGAUUAUGUAAUUUAUUAUAUUGUUAUUACACUCACUCUUUUUUAAUAUGUUAAAUAUUUUUUUUAUUCAAUAAUUAAUUUUAUAAAGAAAUAUUUUGUAAAGACUUUUUUUUUUAUAAGUUUAAAGAAAAUAACUAAAAUGAAAUGAACAAUGUAUAUUUUAUGAUUAUAUUUUAAACAAAUUAUAGGAAGGAAGUUAGAAAUUUUUUAGCUUAUCUAAUUUUUGGAUACAUUUUUAAUAAGUACAAGAAUUAAGGUAAAAUAAAAUGAUCUAAUUUAUUAAACUUAGAAAUAAUUGUUUUGAAAAUAUAUAUUUAGUUGGAUUACAUCUUAGGAUAGAUCCUUCAUUUAUGCAAGUAUACAUAUUGAUAAAUAUGUUGCAUUUGUGUAAAUUAUUUAGGUUUUGUUAAAUUUAUUAGUUUAAAUUUAGUUAUUUGAUGUUAAUUUAAUUUGAGAGAUAUUUAAAUUUGGUAUUUGAAUGUAUUAAUUUCAUCAAAUCUAAUUAAAUGAAAAUAAAUAUAAUUUAAAUACAUGUAGAGGAUAAAUUCUUUUAGAUUAAAGCAAUACUUCUUUUUAUCCAAUUAUGUAUUCAAGAGAUAGAUUGCAUUGCUCAAGAUCAAUCUAAUAUCGUUUGAGAAUAAAAGACAUUAAAGCAAUUCUCUAUCUGAGAGAUGAUUGAUUAUAAAGUGAGAAUGUGUAUAUUGUUUAAAAUUAAACAAGGAUACGUUGUUAUAAAUUAUAGUUUUUAUAGGAUGAUUGAUGCAUUAUGAAGUGUGGUGUUCAUGAAAAAUGGACAUGGAAUAUUAAGAAAAUGAAAAUGAUGAGUUAUUAUAUUUGAGAAUCUGAUUUGAUGAUAUUGUGCCUAUAGAUUUAGCAUAUGCACCACAAGUGGACACUUGAUAUGAAAUUAUCACUACCCAAAAAAACAAAGUAAACCCUAAACAACUUUUAUUUUUUUGGAUGUAUUAUAUGAAUAUAUAUAAUAUUUAAAAAUAAUUUAUGUAUAGUUCACAAAUUAUAUAUAUAUAUAUAUAUAUAUAUAUAUAUAUAUAUAUAUAUAUAUUAAUGUUGUAUACUUUGUAUUAAAUUAUAGUAAUAAACACUUCCUUAUACUUAGAUUGGAGAAUCAAUUCCAUUUUCUUUUAUCUUACACCAAAACUUUUAUUUCUUUAAAAAUAUAAUUUUAACUCCUUUUAUAUAAUAUAUUUGUUAACCUUUUUAAUAUGAAAAAGGUAAGAAAAAAUUAUGACUUGUGGUGGUAUAAUUCUAUCAUAUUUAUAGCAAUUGGACUUUAUUGGCCUUUUAGUUAUUUACAAUGAAAAUUAAUUAAGAAAAAUUGUUUAGACAAGUUACACCUUUUAAUGUAGAAUAAUUAUACAUUUACACAAGUUUACUCAUAAAAAAAACCCUUAAAAACUAAGAUAAGAAAAAAAUGUGAUUUAGGUUUCUACACAGUAAAAGUGAACUUAAAGGUACAUUAAAAAAAAUUAAAUAAAAAUUAUUCAAAUUAGUUUACAUAUAAUUUGAUUUUAAUCUUAAUUUUUACCCUAAACAAGUUCAUAAGUAAAAUUACUGGGAUUUUUUGUAUGAAGGGAACAAAAAGCCGGUGUCAACUGUACCAAAGACUGUAGUCUUCAUAGUGGGGUCCACUCUUUUAGGGUUUGCAUUGACAAUUUUUUUUUUUUUUUUUUUACUAUUUUUUCAUUCAUUUCCGAUCCAUUACUCUACAUACUUUGUACUCCGAAUUCUCAAGUUUGUUCACACUCAUUAUUUUUGUGUGUUCUUUCUAGUUUUCUGGUUACAGCUGGUGAUGGAUUCAAUUGCUAAUAUUAAUCGGUGUGAUUUGGACUCGCUUAUGAGUAUUGGUAGGGUGUGUAGGUUAUAUUUUUUAUUAUCAGGAUCUUUUGCAUCUGUCUUAAAGUUUAUUCUUCAAUGGUAAGAUCUUUGACCUUUUGGGUUGUGUUGUAAGUGCAGGAAUCGAGGGCAAGGCUGGCUGUACAAGAAGUACAAAGAAGUGCAGCAAGAAAAAGACUGUUGAUCCUGAUAUUAAAGUAGUCUUUGUUGAUUCUAACAUUUUUAAAUGGAAGGGUCUUAUCAAGGUAUGCUGACUAUUGUUAAUUACGACCUAUUUUUGAUGAUUCUGCAAUUGCUUGAUCUGUUUUCCUUACAGUUGGGGUCCCUCUGAGACUCUUUAACAGGAGUGCCAGUUCCAGGUUUACUUUCUCUAUUCUGGAGCAGUAUACUAUACAGCCACCUCAAGUCCUGUUUUUGACUAAAAUAUUCACCCAAUGUUCACUUUAAGGUAGGAUGAAUAUGUCUUUAAAUCUGUUAUACUUUUUACUUAUGGAUAGUAUCUGUACUGAGAAGAAUUAUUUAUCCUAUUUUGUUUUUCACUAUAUUUUCAUUGAUGCAUGGUUUCUAAAAUUUUCUAAGUAAUGCAUCCAUUAUAAAACAUUUAUGGAUUCGUUUGGUGCAUAGAAUUGGAAUUGUUGUUCAAAAUUGUAAUUCCUAUUUCUAUUCCGAUUGGUUUGGAAUUAUAAUUCAUGUGUUUGUGCUGUGUAAUGAAUUUGAGGUUACAAUUACAAUUCCAAGUUUAAUUUCAAUUUCGCUUUUUGACAUCUCUAUUUAGCUAGGGGUAGUUGUGGAUACAAUGGUUAGGGUGGAUAGGUGGUGAUGUUAAGUAGCGACAAGAGUGGCAGAGUGGUGAUGGCCAUUGAUGUGGUAAGAAUGGUGAUUGGUGAUGGUAGGAGUGACGGUGGUUAUUGGGGGUGGGGGGAAUGAGUAUGGUGAUGUUGCAACAACCAAAGUUAUGAGAGUGACACGGUAGCAAUCAUUGUUGGCAGUGGUAAUAAAAAGGACACGGAUGAUUGGAGUGGACGUAGUUGGUCAAGGGGGUGGCACCGCAACGGCAAUCAGUGGGAGUCUGGCAGUGAUUGGUGGUAGGGAUUGUGAUGGUAGGGGUGAUGACAUUGUGUCUGGGUAGCAAGAGCAACAGAGACGGAGAGAACAACAAAAUAGUGAGGAUGAACUUAGGAAUUGUAAUAUAGAGGGGAGAGUUUUGGAACUGAGAAAUGUUCGCUUUAAUUAUAUUAUAAUUCCAUGGAAUUGGACUUUAGAGUUGUUCCAAUUCUAGAUGAACUUCCAAAUGUCAUAAUUCCAAGUCCAAGCACCUAUUCCAUUUCCAAUUCCGUGCAUCAAAUGGGCACUAAUAGUUGUUUGCACGAGAAGUAAAUGCGAAAUGAAAAGCUUGUUACCAUAUAUACUGGCUGCCCUGCUACGAACCAUCAGCAUUGAAAUGAAAACUUCUGCCACUUCUAUCAUAGACAUACUUUAGUGCUCAUAUUUGAUGCGUAUGAAUGAUGAGUGUUUGUGGUUGGUCUUAUUAAUUGGUUUGGUUACCUUCUCAAUGAUGGAAAGACCAAUCAUGCUAACGUUUAAUGGGAGGCUGAUAAGUUAAAGAAACCUAAGCUCUAUGUAUACUAUUAAUCGGCUACAAUUGGAAUUUGAAAGCCAUUGAUUUGUUUUUAAUUGCCUGGUCAAUUAUAUUUGUUUUUCUUCUGUUCUUUUUAAGUUGACGGAUAACUUUUUCCUAUUGCAUUUUGUAUUCUUAACAUAUCUUCAUGACGAUUGGUUAAAAAUUUAAUGAGCCUGCAUGAGCCCCCAUAGGCCAAGUAAAUAAGGUUGUUAAAUCCUUUUUUACAAGCUUCUUACGUGGCAUUCAGAGGACCAGGCAAUUUGAUCAUUUCAUCAAUCAGAGUAAAUAACAAUCAACAUCAUCAAAACUUACAUAUCUUACUUACUUCAUAUCUGAUUGAGUGACUAGUCAGCCUGCAUGUAUGACUCGCCUUAUGACAGGUGAAAACGCUGUGAGUUCCAUUUGACAAGCAUCUUAUAUAGAAUACAGGGAGUGAGGCAAACUCACCUUUUUACCAAUCAUAAUAAAUAGCAAUUGUAUCUUCAAAACAUGUACAACUCUCCUCAUAUAUGAUUGACUAGUUAGCCUGCUUGACUCCCCUAAUGCCAAAUAAAAAGGCUGGCAAUUUCUUUGGCAGGCUUCUUACAUGGCAUUCAGGGAGCCAGGCAAGCGCAUCAUUUCACAAUGGGAGAGAUAUAACAAUUCUCACUAAGGAGCCUUACCUUGAACUUGAUCAGAAUCCGACUCAUCAAAACAAAACAGUAUCAAAUUGCAAUACUCGGAAAGAUUUAAUGAAACAAAUGCACUGGGUAAAAGCUAGCUAAUUCACUGUCUCGUUUGACAGCAAAAUAAAGAGCUACGUACCCUUAAUUAUGCAACAGAGGGACAGAAUGAGUAAGAGGAGGCCAUCAAAGAGGAGGGGAAUACUCUAAUUCUUAUGCUUAACUCAAAAUGACUUUGAGCUCCGAGCAGGUCUCUGUAGUUUUUGAUUCUGGAACCAUUGAACCUAUGGGGUAUUUAUGGAGACAGAAUGAGGUGAGAGACAAGAGAAAAUCCAUGAAAAAGGGGAGAAAAGGAAGAAUUAAGGGUACAAUUGGCAAAGGCGGCAACCAAGCCUUGGUUGUAACAAAUAGUUCCACCAGAUAGAGCCAAACCUGCCUGGGUUUUACAGGUAGUCAUUUUUGGAUUUUUCCCUCCCAAAAGAGGAAACCCCCUCCCCACACAAACAAAUCCUCCUUUAAAAAUUUUCAUCCUCCACUCUUUUCACUUGCAUGCAAGAUAUGAGAUGUGCUUAUCUGUCAAUUUUCCUUUGUUGAAACUUGAAAAGUCUUUUAUUAUGGGACCGUUUAGUCUUUAACCUUUAAUCAUUACUGUUUCAUUGAUGAGCACAUUAAUUAAUUAUCUUAUUAUUAUUGAAUGCACUACCCUGCUAGCAAAAGGGUCAAUGACUUAGUGUGAUCAAUUUCCAGACGAUGCCAAAACCAGUCAAUAAGACAAGGCCAGAGUUGCAGUGAGCGUUAGCUGAGUUUGAUGCUGGGGUCCGUUUCUCACAGAACCGAAGCUGGAUCAAAAUAUGGACAAAUGUGAUCAUCUAACUCAUACUCCAUCACCAUCAAACGGUACUUAAUAUUAUAGAAAAUUUGUGCAGUGUCCAUCACUGGAUUAAAAUAUUUCUAUCCGUUGUAUAAGUAUGUUUCAUCCUUUAACUAUAGUAACAAUUUAAUAAUUAACAGAAAAGAACUGUACUGGCAUGAGACAAAAGGCUUUUAUUUUACUUCUUGUUUUAAACUUAUAAUAAUUAUACUCAUAGAUAUGGGUAUUCCAUAUGAAUCCUAAGCUGUAGCUUUUUACAAAUGUUACUCUAAAUCAUUUACUGUGGCCCCAGGAGAUUAAAAGGCAUAAUUUCAAAGUUCCAGUGUGGUCUCAGGAUAUCCCUGCUUAGUGCCAAAUGAGGGAGUUGGGACCACUAAUCCGUUUAGUCAUUUCAUUUUUAAAGGAAUUUUAUAAGGGCACUUGGCCAAUUAAGGACCACAUGCAACUGUGUAUAAGGGAACACAAGCAUAAGUCCAUAUCUCAAAGACAUGACUCAUUAUAUGGUUGUGUCUGUGUGUGCAAGGUGCAACCAUGCUUGGGAUAUAGCAAUUGGCUAAGUUGUUUAGAAACCAUUUUAUUAUAAUUUUUCUUCCCUUUAUUAAUUUCUUCAUCCUCUUUUAUCUGUUAACAUAUAUAUCUGUGUUUUAGGAUCCAAAAUAAGGUUUAUUAUUCGAGUUUCUUUAUCUGAUAGCAUAUAUCUGUGUCGUAAGAUCCAAAAAUAAGCUUUAUAAUUUGAGGUCCAGUCUGUCCGUCUAAGUUGUUCAAAGUAACAUCGGCAUGUGACAAAACGAAAUAAAAUUCAAAUUUAGUAUUUAAGGAUAUUAUUAAUUUUAAGCAUUAAAAAUUAUAUAAGUUACAUGAAACAUUAAAUAUUAUAUUAAAUAUAAAUAAAUGCUCAUAAUAGUAUGGACGACAACAAACAUUGAUUGUAAGUAUAAAUAGUAAUCAAUUGAGAUAAACAAAAAAUAUUAAAUAUGAUAACAUAUGGUUAAAAAUGAUUAUUAUAUUUGAAAUUUCCUUUAUAUCAUUUCAUAUUAAUGUCUUUAAUUAAAUGAAAUAUUAAUCACAAUAAAUGCAUUUCAUAAUACUAAUGACGACAACAAACAUUGAUUAUAAAUAAAUGUAUUUCAUAAUAGUAUUUACAAUAAUAAACAUUGAUUAUAAGUAUAAAUAGUAAUCAAUUGAGAUAAAAAAAAAAUAUUAAAUAUGAUAACAGAGGGUUAAAAAUGAUUAUUAUAUUUGAAAUUUCCUUUAUAUAUACAUUUCAUAUUAAUGUCUUUAAUUAAAUGAAAUAUUAAUUAAUGAUAAUAAUAAUAAUAAUAACACUAUUAUUACUAUUUGUAACAUAUCAAUUAUAUAGCAUUAAAAUUAUAAAUGAACUAUCACAUAAUUAAUAAAGUGGAUAGGUUAAUAGUAGAGCUGUCAAGAUGGGUCAUAACCCGCGGACCAACCUGAUCGAUCUGUCACGGAUUCGAGCUGGGUUGGGUUUGAAAAAUACAAUCCACUUAUAUGUGGGUCAGAUUUCAACCCGGCUCAUUUAGAGCCGGCUCAUGCGGGUUGAACCCGUGGUGAGUCGGGUUGGCCCACCAACCCACCUACCUAAUUUUUUUUUAAUUUAUUAUUUUAUUUAUGAAACCCUAAAUAAUAAAAUACUUUCUUCACUCACUGUGUAUGUCAAAAAAGUAAUAUUUUCUCUCACAAAUCACUCUCACGGUACUUGCUCUUCUCACCGUCACUUCAUUGAAAUUCUUCAAGGAGCAGGUAAAACACCCUUCCUUUUUUCUUCUCUUUUCUUCACAUUUUUGUUUUUUCACUUCUCUUUCUUUUUUUUUUUUUAAAAUCCUAUGAUGACAAAAAUAGGGGUUUGUGAAUUUGUUUUCUGCCCCACACACACAAGGCUUUUCAGUGUACUUUAGGUCACCCAUCCCAAAUUACUCCAAGCUAAACACACUUAACCAUGGAGUCUUCUUAUGGGAUAGGCUAUCGAAAAGCAAAUGCAUUUGUUGAUAUGAAUAGCCAAAUCAAUUCCUUUAAGAUAUCCUUCAACUUUAUAGUCUCAUACCUAUACAGUGUCUAGAUCCCUCUCAUUCUGCUCGAUUCGUCCAUGUGUCCCUUCAAAUCAAUUUCCUUUUUUAAUUUAACCCUAACUAUUUUAAUUUACACGUCACAAUUUUUUACUUUUUUAAAACACAUAACAAUGUCACAUCAUCAGAUAUUAGCCACCUGACAGCUCUGUCCUUAACAAAGUUAAAGCCCUUAUCAAAAAGGACCUAUUUGCUCAGUUUUUGCAAAAGCUAGGACUUAAGUGAACUUUUUAAAAAAGAGAGGACCACUUUGAACAAACCCUUCCAAAAGAGGGACCAAAAUAAGUAUUAAACCAUAAAUUUAUUGAGAAAGAAGUUUAUUGAAGGUAUACAGUAUCAAUGAGAAAUGAGUCCAAUCACAUAAAAGAUUGAAAUCACUCUCAACCUACAACCUGAUAACAACAAUAGAUUAAUAAAUUUUCACUUUUAUAUACAUUCUCAUUUGUACAAAAUAUGGAACUUAUUAGACUCAUUCCUCCACCACUUCAUGAUAGGAUGGAAGUAAUUGAGCUUCCUGGAUACACACCUUAGGAAAAACUCCACAUAGCUAUGCAGCAUUUGAUUCCAAGAGUUUUAGACCAACAUUUAUUGAGUUCUGAGUUUCUUCAGAUUCCAGAGGUAGCGAAUGUUUUUUAUUAUACAAAAAUAGUUUCGGAAACAUAAAAAGUUUCUUCUCAUUCAGGGAAAGGACAAAAAUAAAAGGAAUAAGAAGACAAACAUAUGAAGUUUAUUAGUUUACUGUAAAUAUUUUUUCAGUCUUCGGCAUUGUGGAAAAUAACCGGUUUCUAUGUUUUGGUUGUAUCUUACAUUUAGUGAUUGAAUAUCUAAAGUCAUUCUUUUGCUAAUCCUUGCUUUCUAUGUUUUGAUUGUAUAUCUUACAUUUUAUUGAUUGAAUAUCUGAAGUCUUUCUUUUACUAAUCCCUCUGAUUGCAUUCUUUCCUUCUACAUGGUCAUUGUUCUUAAGGAUGCUAUUAAACUAAUGUAGCAUAUUGUGUUCCUAGAUAAUCUUAACUGAGAUACUUCCUAUACCAUUUUGUGUUCCUAGAAAGCAAAUUUGUAUAGAAAUCUAAUUAAGGGCUAUUUUGAUGUAGGCAAUGGUGAAGCUUGUCAUUCACAGAUCUAUACAAGGGAAGCUGGUUUGAGAAAUUUGGAAAGGAAUAUAGCUGCCUUGGCUCGAGCUGCAGCAGUAAGAGUUCGAGCAAGAACAUAGUUCCAUUAGACAAAGGGAUGCAAGGACUUACUACACCACUUUUGGAAAACAGACUGGCUGACGGGACUGAAGUUGAGAUAAUAGAAAUGUAUAAUUUUUAUUUUAUUUUAACUAUACCCUUGAAUAAUAUUUGUAUAUGUGUUUGUCAUAUUUUAGGUUGUAAUACGUAUAAUAAGCUUAUAUAAACUUGAUGAUUUUAUAGUAUAGUUAAUAGAUUAAGUUUUAGGGUAUUACGUUUGCAAAUUAAAAAGAAAGAAUCUGACAAACAACUACAAUACUAGUAAGAAUUGAUUGAGAAAGAUAGCAUUGAUAAUGAAAAUUUAGUUUCGCAUUAAGAGAAUCCAGUUCACAUGUAUUUUUUUUUUUGUUUUUACAUUUAUUUUUCUUAAAUGAAUGACAUCUAUUUCAAACUUUAAUUGUAUUCUUUUAUAGAAUAUUAAGAAGAUUAGAGGAACUUUAAUAGUGAUAAUUUAAAGUGGUGAGGGAGCAAUGAAGUGAUAUGAUUCGAACUUUAUAUGAGGGUUGGGGAAAGUACUAUUGCUGGCUUUCGACCAACAAUACCACGAUGACUAAGGAGUAGCUUCGUGAUGAUUGAGUUUUAUAGGAACCAAAAAGACGGUCCCUUUUCAGAUUCAUGCACAUGUUCUAUUGCUUCCUCACUUUGGUGCUCAUAGUAAACUCUUUUAUAAUUGUGUAUCACAAUAUGCUUCUCAAGAUCCUGCAUUAUGGAUCUUCUAUAACCGAUUCUUAAAAACGUCUCUUCUCACAUGUAUCUUUCAAAUUAAUGGUUUGCUUCGGUGUCUUAGUGCUUCAUUGCUUUCUUCCUAUGUCCAAUAACAACCUAAUAUAUUUCAAUUCCCGUCUUCUUGAUGAACUUGAUGAUGUUAAAAGGAAGGACAGUUUGGAUAGCAUAGAGCCAAGAGGUUUAGAGAGAGACUAAUCACUAUAGCAGCAUGGCUCUUGCUCUAAUAGUUUUUAGGGAAAGCACAUAAAAGUUCUUUUGGAGCUGAUGAAAAAUAAGUAACAAUACAUGUAGAACUACAUGCGCAGGGUAUGUUCUAGGAUUACUUUCGAAUGUAGUUUGAACUCUUUCCAUAUUUUGGCUCAGACGAGAUCAUAUGGCUGCUAAUGUAUUCAGAGCUUCGAAAACUUUAUUGUAUGUAGAACUCGGCAAAAAUAAUUGAUUUGAACUAUAUUACAGUUAAUUGUAUUAUAUUAUACUAAAAAAACUUAUCUAUUUUUACUAAAAGUUCAAUAUACUAUUUUAUAGUUUAGUUUUUAAAAACCGAACUUAUAACAGUUUCAUUUUAGUUAAGUGUGAUAAUUGUAUUUACUCUUCCUCCUCUCUAGUUUCCGUUCAAUCUUCUUUUUCCUCUUCUCUAGUUUCUCUUCAAGUGCUUCAUCUUGUCAGAAAACGUUAUUUAAUAAUAAAAUAUUAAUAAAUGAAAUCGUUCACAUUAAAAAAUUAAUAUUAAUUUUUUAAGACAAUUUUUUUUUCACAAAUUUUUAUACUUUUUUUAUCAAUAAACAUAUAUUACUUUUUAAAUAAUAUUAUUUUAAGUAAUAAAAGUAAAAUAUAUAUUUGUAAAAUAAUAUUAUUCAUGAAAAGAAUAAAUAUAAUAAUAAAAUAAAAUAAAAUAAACAAAUAAAAAAUAAAAUAAUUUUCAUACACAUAAUAAAAGAAAUAUAAAUAAAAUAGAAAAUAAUAAUAUCAAAUAAUUAAAAAUUUAAUUUGUAAUACACUUAUGAAUAAAAUAAAAUAAAUAUUAAAAUAAAUUUCAAUUAAAAAAACAUGUAUUGUUAUACUAUUUAGUUUAAAAACUAGUAUAAUUCAAUUUAAAAUUAGUAUAGUUAGUAGUUCAGUUCAGUUUAUACUAUAGUUUAGUACAAUUUAGUAUAGCUUAGUUCAGUUCAGUCCAGUUUGAUAAAACAAAAAAAUAGUUUUGUUCAGUUUGUCUGAACUGUUUUACAGUUCAAUUUUGGACAAAUUAGAUUUUAGUUCAAUACAAAUUUUAAUAAUACAGUUAAGUUCUAUUUGUCCACCUCUAAUUAUAUGCAUGUCCCGGUAUUGUGCUCACAUGAGAAAAAAAACGUGUGGCCUGGCCUCAAGUGGUGAUGUUAUUAUGAAAGGUAAGACUAAAAAGCAGCCAUAGCUAUCAACAUUGCACCAUACUCUAUUAGUGAGAUUGCUGGCAAAAUAUAAAACCUUUUAAAAAUAAGAGAAAUGACUUUCAUGUGGUUUUAAAACAAAAAUAUUACUUUCUUUUGGUAAAGAAAGUAGUAAAUAUGGAAUCAAUAGUAGGUUUUCAUGUCUAUUAUCAACUAUUUCAUUAUACAAUUACUUUUUCUAAAUUACAAAUAAUAUUAAUUAGGUUUUCUAAAAUUAACUUUGGAAUAUGAUAAAAUAUUAAAAGUGUUUUAUGUACAAGCUUUUUAUUCAUAUAACAAGUUAUUAGAUUUGUUUUUGGUUAAACGUGUUCAAUAAUUUUGAAUGGAUGAAAAUAAUGUCUUGAAAAGUUGCACAUCGCUUGAGAGUGGGUGGAUGUUAAUAAUUAUAUAAUAAAUUCUAAAUUCAUCAUAUUUUUUUAUCCUAAAUCAAAAUCUUUUUAAAGUUGUAUUUGACUUUUUCUUAUGUUAUUGUAAUAGAAUAUUGUAAGAUUUAGAUUAAAUUUUUGUUUUCGAAUACGAGUAUACUUGUGAUCGAUCAAGAAUCAUAAGACAAGAUAUAAAUAAAUGAAUUUAUAUAUAUAUAUAUAUAUAUAUAUAUAUAUAUAUGUAAUUUGUAAAGCUGAAAUCAUAAGAAUCUGUCACAAGAGAAAGAGAGAGGUACACGAGCAUACAAGAUCCUCAAAAUUGUGUUUAUAGGAGUUGGAUUGAAGCUGAUGAUAAUUGCAGCACUUGAAAGAAACCAUUGAAAAGAGAGGAAUCUUUUUAACUUCCUUUUUAAACAGGCUGCGAAUGUUGAUUCACUAUUUAAUGCAUGUUUAACUCAUGCUUAACCUAAAACUAAGAUAUAAGUAAAUUAUUUUAUACAUGAAUUUUAACUCCUUUUUUUUUUUUCUUUUCUAGAGAUCUUUAUAAAGAAAUUUGUUCAAAACAGACACAGUAAAAAGUUCCAAAUUAUAUUGGGUGCCCUUGUUGCUAGCAGAUGCAGCUAUUUUAAACCAGUUGCGUUACAGUAGCUUCUGCAACUGAAAUGAUGUUGUUGCAUGUGUGGUUGGAAUCAGUCAGAUACUGCUUGCAUUUUAGAAACAUGAUAUUUUAUUAUAUUUCUUUUCACAUUUAUUAUAUGCAAAAAUAUACUAAAAAGCAGUAUAACUGCAUGUUAAAAAAACAGUAAAAAGUAAUAAACUAGUUAUUUAGUUUUUUUACAUGAUUUGUUGUAAGUAUAAGUAUUGAAUGAAAAGAAAGUAGUAUAUAGUUUGUUGAUGAGUUUGAGAUGCCCCAUAUCCAUCCCUUUCUACCUUUGAAGCAGAUGUCACAUUUUUGGCUAUUAAUUGGGCAAAUGCUAAAUUGAGGCACUUGUGAAUUGCAUUCGCUUCCUUCCAAAAGAUUAAUCAUUGUAAUUUGGACUUCAAAACUUCUUAAUUAUUGUUUGCAAUACCUCUUCAACAUAUAUUAAUGACCAUUUAACGUUAUAUAAUUUACUUUUAAAAUAUAUCUUUUAUUAAUAAGAUUAUAUAAUUGUUGCUAAGAAAUAGAUUAAAUGUAACUCAAUUUAAUAAAAUCAUUUUAUAAGGUAAGAUUUUUGUUUAUUUAUAAUUUCAUAUUAAUUAUGGUAGAAUUUCCAACAUAUGAAACUAAAUAUAUGUGAGUGGUCAGAAAACGAUAUAAUAACAUAUAAAAUUAUAACCAAACUUUAAUGCAAUGUUAGAAAAUAAGCUUUAAACUUAAUAUAACCCUAUAAGGUAUUUACACCCACUUUUUAAUAUAACCUUAUUUGAUUAAAAUAUCCAAAUUAUUACUUCUAUUUAUUUUCCUUUCUCUUGUUAAUGAAUUUGGAAUUUUUCUUUUCAUUCAUUUGAGAUAUUAAAGAUGGAUUAGAGAAAAAAAACUAAUUAACAGAUGAAUUAGAGAGACACAAAAUAUAUAAAUAAUAUUUAUGAUAUUAUGUUGUAUAAGUCUUUUAAAAGUAUACAAAUUUUCAAUAUACUUAAAACUAAGUUAAGCUUAUAAUUUAAGAAUUAGUUUUUUAGUUUACCUAAAAUCACUGUGAAUAAGCAUUUAAAUUUAGUCAUUGGAGUAAAACAACUAUUAAUUUAUAGGGAAUUAUCACCUUUUUUAUAUACAUUUUUUUUAAUUUUACUCUUUAAUAAAUAAUCAUUUAUUUAAAUUAAAAUAAUUAUUUUACAAUUUUUAUUUUUUAAAUUUAACCCUUUUUUUAUUUAACGAUUUCUUUAAUUAAUCACCUUUUUAAAGUAAAAUAGUCAUUUAUAAUAAAAAAAUAAUUAUAAAAUAAAUAAAAAUGAUCUAUAAUAAAAUUACAAAAACUAUUUACAUUGACUUUUAUAAUUAUAAUUUUAUUAUCUUUUGCAAUAUAAAAGGGAAAAAAAAGUUAACAUUCAUGUUAUGUGUUUCCACUUAUAAUGUAGGAUAACCUCUUCUAAAUUAAAUAUGUACAUUUAUGAUAACUUUAAGAAAGUAUUUUAUUGCUUACAAAUUUCAUUUGUUUAGAAAUUGGAAUUAUGGAUCAUCGAUUGAUCAGAAGUGUUCCUUAUCCCUCUUUGUGUGUGUGCGCGCGCCCUAACCUUAAAACUUAGAAUCCAUUAUAUAUUAAUGUACCAACUGAAAAACAGAGGUACACAACUUAACAAACCCUUAUAUAUAUAUAUAUAUAUAUAUAUAUAACUAUAUUAAAAAGUCAUAUCAACAUUAAUUUGAAAAUUAGUAAUGAUGUAAAAUUAUUUAACAUUUUAUAUGUAUAAUUAUAAAUAUGGAAGAUUAAAGAUACUAUUAAUUAUGAUUAAUUCUAUUUCGUAUUUAAAUACAAUUAAUUUAGUUAAAUAUCACCAAAAUAAGGUUUACGGUUAAUUUAUAUUGAAUUAUUUUAUUAUAUAUAGACGGGUGUAAUUAAUAGAAAUAAAGUUAUGCAUAAGUAGUCUUGAUUACGAAUAAAUGAUUGGGUGUUGUUCCAUCUAUCUCCCCAAGUGCUCCUCCACCUCCUCACUAUUUUCAUUUAUUUCAAAAAUAUUCUACAUUUUUUCACUAUCUUUUUUUAUUCCAAAAAUACCUUACACCUCCCCACUAUCCUUAACAAUAUUUCUCUUUUGAAUUUGUGAUAUAUUGCAAAAUAUAAAAUUCAAAUAAAACUUCAAUAUUAGUGUUUCUACCACUUCCAUUUUAUAUUAAUAGUAAAUAAUAAUAAUAUAUUAUUAUUAUAUACUAACUUUAUAAUGACAAAAAAACUAAAUAAAUUCAAAAUUUUUAACAAAUAACUUUUCUUUUGUAUUUUAAGUAUUUAAUAAUAUUUUUAUAUUAUUUAUGUAAUAAAUUAAAUAUUUUAUNAUUAGAAAAAAACAUACUUUAAAUAUAAGAAUAUUUUAGUAAUUUUAAAAUUUAAAUUAAAUAAAAAAUAAAAAAAAGUAGUUAUUCAUUAAUUGUUUUUUAAAAUAAAAAAUAAAAAGAAAGGUAGUUAUUUUCCACUACUUAAGAAAUAUUUUUAAUUAUAAUAUUUUUAAAUAGAUAUAAUUUUUAUAUUUACGUUGUUUUUUUAAAAAUGGGUGGAUCACAUCCAUAGGCAACAUAUUUUUUAUGACUUAAAAGGUAUCUUUUACAAUUUUUAUUUCCAUGACUUUGUAAAACCCGUCUAGGUUUAUAGAACCCUUCUGGGUUUAUAGAACCCGUCUGGGUUUUUAGAACCCGUAUGGGUUUGUAGAACCCGUAUGGGUUUGUAGAACCCGUCUGGGUUUAUAGAACCCGUAUGGGUUUAUAAAACUCGUCUGGGUUUAUAAAACCCGUCUGGGUUAAAAAAACAACUACCUUCUAAUUUAUUUUUUAUUUUAUAAAACAACUAUCUUUUAAAAAAUAUAUAAUAAAAGCUAAUAACUUUCCUCGUGGACUAAUCAGGAUUUUUCAUAACUACCUUUUAUUUUUUUUUAUUUUAAAUUAAAUUUUAAAAUUAUUAAAAUACCUUUUAAAAAAUAUAUAAUAAAAGCUAAUAACUUUCUUCAUAACUACCUUUUAUUUUUUUUUAUUUUAAAUUAAAUUUUAAAAUUAUUAAAAUAUCCUUGGAUUUGAAGUUGAUUUUCUUUUUUAACAGAGACAUUUUUGUAACCUAAAACUUGGUACACUUUGUUAAAAUGUACCAACUGAAAAAUCACUUUACGUAAAUUAGCGAACCCCAUAUAUAUAUAUAUAUAUAUAUAUAUAUAUAUAUAUAUAUAUAUAUAUAUAUAUAUAUAUAUAUAUAUAUAUAUAUUUAUUUAUUUAUUUGUGUGUCCUUGUAUUAUUUUAUUUCUUUGUUAUUAAGAUGAUUUUUGGAGAUAAAAAUGAUAAUGUUCUUUAUUAACAGUAAUAGUGAGAAUUAUGAAUCCAAUAAAUUAUGAACCAUUUUAUAUAUAAAAAACUUUUAUAUUACCUUCAAUUCAAAAUUAUAAUAUAAUAAAUUUUUGGAUUUUUAUCUUUAUAUACUCAUCUUAACCCAAUAUAUAUAGAACUCCAUACUGUAAAUUUGAAUUCCUCACAAAUCAAAUUAUAUAAAUAAAGAUAAUUAAAACUCUUAUUAAGAUGAAUUUAUUCAUAAAAUAAACUUUUAGAUAAUUUUUAUAACUCAUUUAUAUAUUGUAAUUUAAAGUUAUAUAUAUUAAAAUUAAAAAAAAUAUAUGUUAAAAUAUUACUGUUACUUGAGCAAACUAUUCAUUUGUUAUUUCACGAGGUAUUACGUCUAUAAUAUACUCAGUACAUAGUUGAAAGUCAUUUAGCUUAGUGAUAAUAAAAGACCCAAUUUAAAGGAAAGAAAAAUACCUUUGAAACACGACAACUUUAAAGCUUUAUCUAUAAAGUUAAUAAGAAUUAUGAAAAAAUAUAUUUUUAAGAACCACUUUGCUUAAAUAUAUUCUCAAAAUAAAUCAAAUCAUUAAAUUAUAAAAUUUAUUUAUGAAAAAAUUAGUUGUAAUAAAUAUAUUUUUAUGAACCACUUUGCUUCACUCCACGAUGGACAUAGUGCAAGAAUGUCUCGGGCCCCAACAAAUGGGUAGCACACUUUAUUCAUUAAGUUGUAUUUUCACAACAAAAUCUAUGAAAAUACAUAAAACAUGGUUUAUCUUAAAUUAAACAUAACAAAGAAUUGAGCUAAUUUAAUACUCUUUAUUUGGCUUCUUAACUGAAAUAUGUUUAUCCAAUAAAAUAGCUUCAAUAGUUUUUAUUUCUUUUCAUUUCAAUAUCAAUUUUAUCUCAUAAUCUUACUUGAUAUUUUCAAUAUUUAAAAAAAAUAAUGUUCUGACAGAUAAUAUAAUUUAGAAAAUGAAAAGUUUGAGUACUCCAUAAGCAAAGCAUAUAUAGAAGGAGUGAGAUGAAGAGACUAUAGCUAUAGUGGGUGUGGUGUACUUUAGAAUAAAUAUGCGGAGGGAAUUUGUUUGGGGUUUUUCAUUGUAAUUUGAGCCAUUAUUAGCCUCAAAUCAUUCAAUGUCUUCCCACCACUUAAAUUCAACGGACAAAAAGUAAAAUUACUUUCUCUUCAAGUUUAUAAUAAAAGUAAUCCAACAAAAGAAAGAAACAAGAUACAACAUAUGCUUGUGUGUUUUCCAUAAAUCCCACUCCACUUUUAAAAAAUGUUUCCAUACAUAUAAUCUAAACAACUGAUUAAUGUGGCUGAUUAAGAGAAAAUAUAUAUUUUAGACCCGUCAAAAUGGAUAAUCCGGUCCGGCCCAUCACGGAUUGGUCAAUUAGUGAGUCAAUCCAACUCGGUUCAUUUAUUGGCGAGUCAAAAAAAUUCGAUUCCAGUAUGAUACACUAGGGUUGGUGGUUAAAAAGGUUGGCUCACUGGCUUAGUUAAAUACAACAUUUUUAAAUAAAAAAUUAUAAAUUUUCUAUAAUUUAAAUUUAAACAAAUCUCACUUUUAAAUUGCACUUCCAACAUGGUGUUUAAUUAAUUUUGAAUAUAGGAGACUUAAAUAAUUAUUUCAAACAAAAAAUAAUAAUAAAUAUUUUUAUAAAAUUAAAAAUAAAUUUGAAUAAAAUAAAAUUAGGUAGCUGGAUUGAGGGUCAACCUGACUCAUCACAGGUUCAACCUGCAUGAAUCGGAUUUAAACGAGUCGAGUUGAAAUCUGACUUACAAAAAAAAUAUAAUUUAUUCAAACACAACCCAGUUCGAACCUGUGGUGGGCCAGGUUAACCCACGGGUUGUGACCAUUUUGAUAGUUCUAAUAUAUUUUUUGUCAAAUAUAAUGCUUAGACAUGGAUAUUUUUUCUUGUAUUAAAUUUAGAAAUUAAUUAUACGAUGUUUAUCAUAUAGUUUUUUAGAUUUGUUAACAUUUUUAUCGUGUAAAAUAAUAAAAUAAACUUAUUAUAUAUAAGUGAGGAAAAAUAUUAUUUUACAAAUCGAUAAAGUUAAAUUUGAAAUCUAUUUUUGACAACUUUUAUAAAGUGAUUUUGGGGUCAAAGUCCACUGCAGACAGUAGGGACAUGUCUCCCUCACUGGUGGUGAAAUUUUGGGUUGAACAUUAUCAUGUCAUUGCUACCCCCAAUUCACAUUUUCUUUACGCCAACAUGUCUCUCGCACUAUCUUUAAAGAUGUUAUGGAUUUCAAAUGAAAUAUAGUAAAUAAGAUACUUUCAUGGUUAAAAUAUUUUUAAAUACAAAUAUGUUAUGUAACAAAUAAAAGUUUAAUUUUAUUAUAAUUAGUAUAUUUCGUUGUAAUCUAAAAGGUUAUUUUAUUUAAUUAGAUUAUCCAUUUUUAAUUAUAUCAAUAAAAAACAUAGACACACAUGAUAACAAAACGUGUAGGGAGGAGAAUUAAUGUGUGUUGGAUUUUAUAUAAUUCAAGUAAAUUGAUCAUGAAUAAUUUCUAAUAAUUUCUAAUUAUUCAAGAUAAAAGGUAACAAGAAACUUAUACUAAAAUAAUUUCUAAUAAGACAAAAAUGAAAGUUAAAUAAUUAACUUUUUUAUUUAUGAAUUCUAUAUUUAAAUGAUAAAAUAUUCAUUUUUUAUUUCAGACAUACCAUUUUUAUUAUUAAACAAUUAACUAAGCUCUUACAGAAAAGACAAGCAUGUGAGGACAAGCACAAACUCCACGAAAAGCAUCUCAUGGGCAUGCUAGCUAGCUCCCCCCUUAUUUCCGUCAUGGAAAAUCGGUAUAUCCUUCCAAAAAAUUUCACUACAAACUAUAAAUUAUAAAUAAUAUCACUAGUGUUUUAAAAUGAAAUCACAUUGGUUUUGAUCAUGUUUUACAUAUGUUUAUUAAUUGAUUUUAAAUUAUUGAUACUUUAUUCUUUUGAUGCAUUGCAUAUGAAUUUUUUUUUCUUAUAAUUGAAUUUGUUACAGGAGUAAUAACUUUGUAAGUUCAGGAAAUAAAGGACACAGGAAACGUGGAUAUUAUAUAUCACACUUGAUAAUUUAUAACUGGAUGAGAAUGUCUCUUCCUGCAUAUAAAGCACAGAUAAUGGUAUCGUAUCCGUGACGUGUCCUUGCGAUGAAUUUUAGAUACAAUUUCUGGAUAGAUUAGAUUUUGCAUAUUUUCUCUAUAGGAAUCGCAAUAAACCAGAUGAGUAACUGAGAUGAUGUUUAAAUGUCCAGACUGAACCCAUGCGCAAGGCAUGAAGUUGGCAUGCAAGAAGAUAAAUCCAAACUGGAUUCUUUCAGAAAAUGAACUGGAGUGCUAGAUUCUAUAGAGAUAUGUAGCAGAGUAUAUAAGAGGAUUAGAGAAAAUGGCUAUAUUGCAUUGGAGCUAGAAUACAACUUUUCAGGUGUAGGUAAGUGAUUUCAAGUCAUGGAUGUAAAGAUAGAGGCAUAUCUGCCAUGCCACCACCUUCAUCAUUACUGUCCUACAGAAAAAAACCAAUCAAGUGUCCCUCCACUACACCAGUUAGUGCAUAUAUUAGUUAGAAAAGAAAUGCGAAUAUUUCUCAUUAUCUUUCUAUCUUCUAGCCCCACUCGGCCAUGUUGUCUAUAAAUUGUCUAUAAAUUGGAUCAACCAAACAAACAAACACAAGCCUUUUUCUUACAAAAAAAAAUGGAGUACUCUAAUGGAUUUCCUAGAAAAAGAGAUGUUUCUCUUCAGGAACUUAGCAAAAGGCUUGCUGAGUUUGCUCAAGUAAGAGGAUGGGAACAAUAUCACAGUCCCAGAAACCUUCUUUUAGCUCUUGUAAGUCCCAGAAUGUGUUAUUAUGAUACUGAAAUUAAUUUCUUUAACAAAGUUAAUGAACAUAUUGUAUGUUUAUUAAUUAUGCAGGUUGGAGAGGUGGGAGAGCUUUCUGAGAUAUUCCAGUGGAAAGGAGAGGUUGCAAAGGGGUUACCCAAUUGGAGUAGUGAUGAUAAGGAGCACUUAGAGGAAGAGCUUUCUGAUGUUUUGCUUUAUCUAGUGCGUCUUGCAGAUGUUUGUGGGCUAGAUCUUGGCCAAGCAGCUCUCACAAAAAUACUCAAGAAUGCUAAGAAAUACCCAGUUACUACUACUGACCAUACCACCACUUCCAAUCGCAACUAGCUUCCUAUGUACUACCACCAGUAUGCUAUAUAAUGCUACAAUCCAAUAUCCAUGUAACUUUCUCUUCGUUUUACCUUUGAAACUGAGUCCAUUCCCAAGAAGAUUAAAUUAAACCUUUAGUUAAACAAGUUAUAACUAUUUCAUAAUUUGUGUUACACACACACACACACAUAUAUAUAUAUAUAUAUAUAUAUAUAUAUAUAUAUAUAUAUAUAUAUAUAUAUAUUUGUAACAGCAGUAGUUUAAUUAUGCAGUCAUGACUUGUUUAUCAAAACUGCACUGGUAUUUCAUUGUCAUGCAUACAUGGAACCUCACAUGUGAUCCCGUGUCCUAAAUGUUAGUGAAAUGAGAAAUUUGCCCAUGUGGGCACGUGCCUGCCCAACCAUUCUUCAUCUCAUGGGUUGUUUUCCAUAUCAUUGCUAUAUAUAUCAUCAUUCACAAAUAUGUUGUGUGUGUGUGUGUGUAUAUAUAUAUAUAUAUAUAUAUAUAUAUAUAUGUAAUUUGUAAAGCUGAAAUCAUAAGAAUCUGUCACAAGAGAAAGAGAGAGGUACACGAGCAUACAAGAUCCUCAAAAUUGUGUUUAUAGGAGUUGGAUUGAAGCUGAUGAUAAUUGCAGCACUUGAAAGAAACCAUUGAAAAGAGAGGAAUCUUUUUAACUUCCUUUUUAAACAGGCUGCGAAUGUUGAUUCACUAUUUAAUGCAUGUUUAACUCAUGCUUAACCUAAAACUAAGAUAUAAGUAAAUUAUUUUAUACAUGAAUUUUAACUCCUUUUUUUUUUUUCUUUUCUAGAGAUCUUUAUAAAGAAAUUUGUUCAAAACAGACACAGUAAAAAGUUCCAAAUUAUAUUGGGUGCCCUUGUUGCUAGCAGAUGCAGCUAUUUUAAACCAGUUGCGUUACAGUAGCUUCUGCAACUGAAAUGAUGUUGUUGCAUGUGUGGUUGGAAUCAGUCAGAUACUGCUUGCAUUUUAGAAACAUGAUAUUUUAUUAUAUUUCUUUUCACAUUUAUUAUAUGCAAAAAUAUACUAAAAAGCAGUAUAACUGCAUGUUAAAAAAACAGUAAAAAGUAAUAAACUAGUUAUUUAGUUUUUUUACAUGAUUUGUUGUAAGUAUAAGUAUUGAAUGAAAAGAAAGUAGUAUAUAGUUUGUUGAUGAGUUUGAGAUGCCCCAUAUCCAUCCCUUUCUACCUUUGAAGCAGAUGUCACAUUUUUGGCUAUUAAUUGGGCAAAUGCUAAAUUGAGGCACUUGUGAAUUGCAUUCGCUUCCUUCCAAAAGAUUAAUCAUUGUAAUUUGGACUUCAAAACUUCUUAAUUAUUGUUUGCAAUACCUCUUCAACAUAUAUUAAUGACCAUUUAACGUUAUAUAAUUUACUUUUAAAAUAUAUCUUUUAUUAAUAAGAUUAUAUAAUUGUUGCUAAGAAAUAGAUUAAAUGUAACUCAAUUUAAUAAAAUCAUUUUAUAAGGUAAGAUUUUUGUUUAUUUAUAAUUUCAUAUUAAUUAUGGUAGAAUUUCCAACAUAUGAAACUAAAUAUAUGUGAGUGGUCAGAAAACGAUAUAAUAACAUAUAAAAUUAUAACCAAACUUUAAUGCAAUGUUAGAAAAUAAGCUUUAAACUUAAUAUAACCCUAUAAGGUAUUUACACCCACUUUUUAAUAUAACCUUAUUUGAUUAAAAUAUCCAAAUUAUUACUUCUAUUUAUUUUCCUUUCUCUUGUUAAUGAAUUUGGAAUUUUUCUUUUCAUUCAUUUGAGAUAUUAAAGAUGGAUUAGAGAAAAAAAACUAAUUAACAGAUGAAUUAGAGAGACACAAAAUAUAUAAAUAAUAUUUAUGAUAUUAUGUUGUAUAAGUCUUUUAAAAGUAUACAAAUUUUCAAUAUACUUAAAACUAAGUUAAGCUUAUAAUUUAAGAAUUAGUUUUUUAGUUUACCUAAAAUCACUGUGAAUAAGCAUUUAAAUUUAGUCAUUGGAGUAAAACAACUAUUAAUUUAUAGGGAAUUAUCACCUUUUUUAUAUACAUUUUUUUUAAUUUUACUCUUUAAUAAAUAAUCAUUUAUUUAAAUUAAAAUAAUUAUUUUACAAUUUUUAUUUUUUAAAUUUAACCCUUUUUUUAUUUAACGAUUUCUUUAAUUAAUCACCUUUUUAAAGUAAAAUAGUCAUUUAUAAUAAAAAAAUAAUUAUAAAAUAAAUAAAAAUGAUCUAUAAUAAAAUUACAAAAACUAUUUACAUUGACUUUUAUAAUUAUAAUUUUAUUAUCUUUUGCAAUAUAAAAGGGAAAAAAAAGUUAACAUUCAUGUUAUGUGUUUCCACUUAUAAUGUAGGAUAACCUCUUCUAAAUUAAAUAUGUACAUUUAUGAUAACUUUAAGAAAGUAUUUUAUUGCUUACAAAUUUCAUUUGUUUAGAAAUUGGAAUUAUGGAUCAUCGAUUGAUCAGAAGUGUUCCUUAUCCCUCUUUGUGUGUGUGCGCGCGCCCUAACCUUAAAACUUAGAAUCCAUUAUAUAUUAAUGUACCAACUGAAAAACAGAGGUACACAACUUAACAAACCCUUAUAUAUAUAUAUAUAUAUAUAUAUAUAACUAUAUUAAAAAGUCAUAUCAACAUUAAUUUGAAAAUUAGUAAUGAUGUAAAAUUAUUUAACAUUUUAUAUGUAUAAUUAUAAAUAUGGAAGAUUAAAGAUACUAUUAAUUAUGAUUAAUUCUAUUUCGUAUUUAAAUACAAUUAAUUUAGUUAAAUAUCACCAAAAUAAGGUUUACGGUUAAUUUAUAUUGAAUUAUUUUAUUAUAUAUAGACGGGUGUAAUUAAUAGAAAUAAAGUUAUGCAUAAGUAGUCUUGAUUACGAAUAAAUGAUUGGGUGUUGUUCCAUCUAUCUCCCCAAGUGCUCCUCCACCUCCUCACUAUUUUCAUUUAUUUCAAAAAUAUUCUACAUUUUUUCACUAUCUUUUUUUAUUCCAAAAAUACCUUACACCUCCCCACUAUCCUUAACAAUAUUUCUCUUUUGAAUUUGUGAUAUAUUGCAAAAUAUAAAAUUCAAAUAAAACUUCAAUAUUAGUGUUUCUACCACUUCCAUUUUAUAUUAAUAGUAAAUAAUAAUAAUAUAUUAUUAUUAUAUACUAACUUUAUAAUGACAAAAAAACUAAAUAAAUUCAAAAUUUUUAACAAAUAACUUUUCUUUUGUAUUUUAAGUAUUUAAUAAUAUUUUUAUAUUAUUUAUGUAAUAAAUUAAAUAUUUUAUUCAAAUUAUUUAAGUUGAACAUGUCGGUAAGUUAAAACAUAAUAUAAUGUUAUUAUAGAUAUUAAAUGUAAAAAAAAAAAAAAAAAAACACACACACACACACACACACACACAUAUAUAUAUAUAUAUAUAUAUAAACAUUUUUCUAGAAAUUUAGAACAAAAUUUUACCAUUUAUUAAGUAAUUUGAAGAAAAAAAAUUGGGUUAAAUAUGUUUUUAGUCCCUAUACUUUGGAGCGAUUUUGGUUUUAGUUGUUCUUUCAAACUAAGGUACAAUUUAGUCCUUCAACUUUAGAAAACUCUGGUUUUAGUCCUUUUUACCAAAUUUUUUUAACUUUAUUUGCUGUAAUGACUAAAUUUUACCUUAGUUUGAAAGAGGGACUAAAACCAAAAUCGCCCCAAAGUACAGGGACUAAAAACAUAUUUAACCCAAUAAAAUAUAUUGAACAACAAAAAUAAGAUUGAAUCAAACUUAUUUAAUAGAAUAUAUCACAAGUUCAAAUCUGAGUCAUUAAUGAGUCAUGUAAAUGCUCCAUUAAUGCAGAGAGAAAGAAAGAUUGUUAAUGAUAGUGGAGAGGUGUAGAGUAUUUUUGGAAUAAAAGAAAAUAGUGGGGAGGUGUAGAAUAUUUUUGAAAUAAAUGAAAAUAGUGGGAAGGUGAAGGAGCAUUUGGGGAGGUGGAGGGAGCAACACCCUAAAAGAUUUUGUACUACUUAAAAGGAGGAAAACGCAGUACAAAAAGAUAUAAAAUUUCAUAAUGUUAUUUCCGCAAAUGAAAUGGGCCAAGCCCAUCAAGAUCUCGAAACAGUAAAAUAAACGAAAAAUAAGAAAAUAUUAUAGGUGUUGCUCCCUCCACCUCCGAAAUGGGUCGAGCACCUUCCCAGUAUUUUAACUUAUUUCAUAAAUAUUCUACACUUUCCUACUAUAUUUUUUAUUCCAAAAAUACCCUACGCCUCCCACUAUCCUUAACAAUCUUUCUCUUUCUCUCUUUACAUUAAUGGAGCAUUUACAUGACUCAAAUUUAAACUUGUGAUAUAUUUUCUUAAAUAAGUUUGAUUCAAUCUUAUUUUCACUAAUAUAUUUUUUUCUUUUCAAAUUACUUAAUAAAUGAUAAAAUUUUGUUCUAAAUUUCUAGAAAAAUAUUUAUAUAUAUGUGUGUUUUUUUACAUAUAAUAUCUAUAACUUUUAACAUUAUAUUAUGUUUUAACUCACUGACAUGUUUGACUCAAAUAACUUGAAUAAAACAUUUAAUUUAUUAGAUAAAUAAUAUAAAAAUAUUAUUAAAUACUUAAAAUAUUAAAAAAGUUAUUUGUUAAAGAUUAGAAUUUAUUUAGUUCUUUCAUCAUUAUAAAGUUAGUAUAUAAUCAUAUAUCAUUAUUUACUAUUAUGUAGAAUAUUUUUGAAAUAAAUUAAAAUAGUGGAGGAAGUGCAGGACCCACUUGGGGAAGUGGAGAGAAAAACACCCAAAUAUUAUAUAUGAGUUAAACCCACCUAUUUUAAGAGAAUAAAAAAUGAAAUAGAAAUAAAAAUUUGUAUUAAAAUUAUAUUUCUUUCAAUGUACUCUAACGAAAAAGCUUUUUUUUUAAUGGUUUCAACUAGAAUUUAGACUCUUUCUCAAUAAAAAAAACAACCAUGAACUUUAUCUUAUUUGAAGUUUUUAUUGUAUUUUUUUUUUCUGGAAAUUUGGUUUUGCCUCUGUUUCUAUUUUCACCUUUCUUGUGUUGGUUAAAAUGGCCCAUUUCGUUUACUGUCUUUUCAUUUUUUCAUUUUUAAGGUUGGGCUAGUUUUCUUUCAAAAUCUAUUAUUCAUUUUAUUUCAUUUUAAGAAGAAUAAUGGUAACUAUAAUAUUGCAAUAAAUUAUAUAAAAUUGGAUGUUCCAAAAACUAAUUAAUAAAAUAUAAGAGGGAAAAAAUAAAAUCUAAUAAUCGUGUCCAUGGAUAACCAUUUUAUAAUGUUUAGAUUUAUUUAUUUAUUUUUAGUUUAGGCUGAUUUAGCUUAUCAUUAAAGUUUUUAAGCCGAAAUGAACUUUUUCUUGACCCGACAGUUUCAAUUAUUUCCAUAGUUUAUGUAAUAAAAAGGCUGAUUUAUAUUUAUGUAAUAAAACCAUUUAUUUUAUUAGAUAUAUUAUGUAAUUUUAUACAAAAUAUAUUUUCUAUACUUUUUUUUUUAUAUUUUAUGUUAAUUGCUUUCCUAUACAAUCUCCUCUUUUGUUUUUUUUUUCUAAGCCUUCAACCUUAUACGUUAAUUUUUAAAACAAAUAAUUAUAAAAUUUUUGAAAGAAGUUACAAAUAAGAAAGAAAAAAAAAUACACCCAUUUAAAUAGUACAGUACACAGUUAAGAAAAAAAGAAAAAAAAAAUCAGUAUUCUAAUAUUAAAAUUUUAGUGGAAUCUUUGUUAUUGAGACUCGUAAAAAUGACUUCUUCCUAACGAAAUCCUAAUUAAUGUAAAUAUGUUUAAAAGUGUUAGCUAGUUCAAAUAAUUUUUUAAAAAGUUGCACAGCAUUGUUAAAUUCUUCCACAAUCAUGUCUCCAACAAUUCAAAUUAACGAAAUAAAUAUAAAAAAAUCUAUCUAGAACUUCAUACCAACAAUAAUUUGUUUCAAUUCAAAUUAAUGAAAUAAAAUAAAAAAAAAUCUAUCUAGAACUUCAUGCCAGCAAUAAUUUAUUUCAUGCUAUUUUUUUAGCUAAAUUAUUCCAAUCGUUCUUUGCUUUUCAUUUGUACAAUUUACUUUUUGAAAAUGGCAAUGACUACUUUUGCAAAAAAGAUGUUUCUUAUUUUAAUUUUUAAGUGAAUCAUUGGGCAAAUAUAGAUUCGAUUUUGAAUAAGAUCACAUAUCUAUCACUUUGUUUUAUUUAUAACAUUUCUUUAUAAUUAAUGCAGACACCAACAUAUCGCAUUCUUUAUUUGUUUAUACGAUUGUGUAUGUCCACCUGCUACCACCAACUCAAAUAUAAUUCUCUACAGUGAGACAACUAUCAACUUUUAAAAAAGUUUAUAAACAAAACAAAACAUUUUUACAUAUAUCUAAUUAUUAUAACAAAAACCAAUUUAUAAAAUAAAAUUUUAUUCAUAUAUUAUAAUAUAGCUAAAUCUAUAUGAAAAAGCACAAUAUAUAUAACAAAUUGAAUAGGAAAAGGUGACAACUUUUAAUAUUUAAAAGGAAAUACUCCAAAAAGCACGUGUCAAUAAUACGUCUCUUUCAUAUAUGGAUACUACCAAAUCUUUUUUUAAAUUUUUUUAACAAAAGACAGUUUAUGUAACAACUUUUGAUUGCUUUGUUUUAAAUAUACGAAUUAAUAAAAUAAUGAUAUUUAUUUUAUUGUCAAAAAAUUAUUAAAAAUGAUUGUCAAAAUAUCAUAGUCCAAAUGCAAAUUUUAAACCCACCGCCCAAAAAAAACAAAAAAACAAAAGCUCACACUUUUAGUAAUUUGUACCUUAAGAGUAUUAGGUAUCAGUGACUCACUAAAAUCUUAUAGCUUUUUAUGAGAGCUUGUUAAUAUGUUUGAAUAGAAAAGUUAUUUAUUCAUAAUGUAUUCUUUUUCAAACAAAUCCAUUUAAUAUUGAAAUAUUAUAUUUAGAGCUUAAUAACAUUCUUUUAAUAAUAAAAUGUUAUAUUUAAAUGAUAAUAAGAAACAUUACAUUAUAAAAUAAUAUUAGUAAUACAUUUAGUUACAUAAAAUAUAAGAAUGUGAAAAUAUCAUUUUAUUCAUAAAAAAUAUAAUAGUUUGACACACACAAAAUUAUAUUACAAAUAAAUUAUAAUAAUAUAAUAUACAAAAUGUAAUAAUAUUUUGACAUUUUUAUCUUUUUUACAUAUACGCAAUAAAAUAUAUUAUUAUUUUAUUAUAAACUUUUAUUUAUAUUUUUAUUAUCAGAAGGAGUUAUUAAGUAAAUAUUUAAAUAAUAAUAAUAAUAAUAAUUGUCAAAAAUUUACUUCUUUUAAUAUAACUUAACGAUUCAUAAGUUCAAUGAAAUUAUCAUAUAAUUAAUUGUAUAUUUUAAAUGAGAUUAUUUUUUUUCUCCUUAUACUAUAGUCCACAUAGUUUUCAUAUUGAGAAAGCACAAUUUUGUUUUCUAUUUUACAAAUCAAAUUUAAAUAUUAUAGCUAUUAUGGAUUAGAAAAUUAAAUGUUUGUAUAAAUUAUUAGAAAAUAGGUUUUAGGUCUAACCCAUCUCCACAAAACCAAUUUCUAAGGUAAGAUUUGCACCUCAUUUAUAUAUCAUAAAUCUGACUUAUCUUCCAACAUAAAUAGUAGAUCCCUUCUAAGUUAUAACUUGAUUUUUUUAUAAUAUAUUUACACUAUCUACAGAAUUGUUUAAUUUUUAAUUACAUGAGUUUAUGUUUUUUAUAUUUUUAUUAUUAUUAAUAAUAAAUAUUUAUAUGCGAAGAAAAAUUAUUGUUGUAGUUUGAGAUAGCAGCUUAUUCGAGAUUUAUAUGAAUUUAUAAAUAGAUACAAACAGUAUUUUGUUUUCCUAAUGUUAUGUGAAGGAGACCAAGCUAAAAAAAACAGCUUGGAAAAAUACCUUAUUAAAAAUUGGUGCAGCAUGGCUUUUGUUCAAACGUGGAUUCCACUCUCUGUAACCAGCAAUUAUUGAAAUAAGUGGAAGAAUGACUACCUAGGCUGUGUUUGGGAAGCGUUGGGAUUAAUCUUCUUCUUCCAAACACUUCAGCUUUAUUAGAAAUUAUGAACUUUUGGUUUCUUAUCUUGCAAACAAAAAGCCAAACAUAUUACAAGAUUCUAUAGGCUAAAUUAUUGAAAGCUUUUAAAAGAUUGUGUUAGAUUUCUCAACAAUUAGUUAAUAAUAUAAGUAUUACUAAAAUAUAGAGUAGAUUACCAUAUAUUCAAUUUAUUGGAAAAUAGUAUGCAAAAUUUAUUGGAAAAACUUUCACUCCUGAUGACGUAAAAUAAGAUAAUAAUUAAAUUAAAAGCUUGGAAUGUGUUUCUGUUUAACAACUUAUUUUAUCUUAUCUAAUAAUUUAAAUAAUUGAAUAAUUCUGAACCACUUCAACCGAUGUCUAAUGACAUUUAUUUAAAUUUUUUAAUUUAACAUAAAAUAAAUAACGAUACAUAAUCACAUGGUAAAAAACUAUUAAUUAUAAAAUGUUUGGUUAAAAUGGGCACGUAUGCAUAAUGCAACUUUGGCAUACUCAUUUUGUUUGCUUCUUAACAAAAGCCUUUCCUUUUGAAUUUUGAUUAGUACAAUGUUCCAAAUCAUGAACUGCUAUUUAAAAUAUUAAUAAACUACAGUGAAUAUGAAUAAAAUUUAAUUUUUUUAUUCAUUUCAUAUUGCAUAGAAGUAAUAAUAGUUCUUCCCAAACACUUUCGUCCAUGAUAAGAUCAGAAACAAAAUUUCAUUUAACAUAUAUUCUAUAUUUUAAGUUUACUUAAAUUUAAUUAAACAUAAAAACAUUAGUACUCUUGUCAUUCAAAAUUGGUCGAAAUAUUUAGAUUAUUUUUAUUUAUUUACUUAAGAUUAAAUUUAUAUGUGUGAACUUAGUUAGAAUCACAUAUUAUUAACUAAAAUUGACUAAAGAUAGUAAAUUUUGGAAGAUUGAAAUCUUACAUGAAGUUUAUGGUGACAUUUCAUUUGGGGAAACGAAAGAUUAAGAAAGUUUUGAACUUAGAAAUAGAAAGUAAAUUAGGUUUUAGAAAGUUGAGUGAAGUAUGGAGAUUUGAGAGCUUGUUGAAGCUUGUGAUCAUCAUACCAUGAAUCGCGACAAGUCUCCAAGUUGAGAAAGUAGUUGACUACGGAAGAUACGCACAACUCUUUUCUCCAUUCUUCCAACUUUGGAAAUCCAACAUUUUCUCCAUAUUUGUCACAAUACUGCAAAACAAGUUUAUCUGUGUGAGUAACAUUAAUAUUUGCAUGCCCUAGCAGAUAGGAAUGAAAUAAAAGUUAACCUCAAAGUCUCCAAUUUCAUGGGUGUGACGUUUAGGAAUAGCAGCAGCCUCUUUUGAAUGAUAAAACUCGUCAAUUGAUUUCAUCAUUUCCUCAUAUGAUGGCAAUACCUUUUUCCCAGAAAGCAGUUGAGCUAUCCAUUUUCCUUGAGACUCAAAGAAAGGGAGCCCUAGGAUCUGCACCACUCAUAUAUCAACCAUGUGCAUAUAUAUAUAUAUAUAUAUAUAUAUAUAUAUAUAUAUAUAUAUAUAUAUAUAUAUAUAUAUAUAUAUAUAUAUAUAUAUACCUCUAUUACAGAUAUAAUUGAAGGUUACCUUUCUGGGGAUGCCUACGAGUGAAAGCGAAGGUGCAAGUGAUGGAGGGAAAGUGUGUUCAUACAAAGGACCCACUCUGUUAUCAUCCACAACAACCAUUCCCUUUGUGUCAAGAAAAGGGAAGGAAUACUCAUACCUACACACAAUCCAUUCAAUGAAUGAGACAUUAAGAGUAAAUGUGAGAGCUUGUAAGCUUAAUUUUAGGAUGAUAUAUGAGAUGUUACCCAGUGCAGUAUAAAAUAGUGUCUGCGAUUAUGCAGGAACCGUCCGUGAAAGUGACACUCCCAUCCUCUCGAAGGUUGUCGAUCUACAAAAAAACAUAAAAUAGCAGUGGAUCUAUUUCAUGGGACAAGAACUUGAAGAUCAGGAAGUGAUACCUGCGGACGAAGGUGAAAGUUCUCGUAUUUGGAUAUAACUUUGGAUAAACCCUCGUAAAUCUCAAGUGAUUUCGAACUCAGGUGCACUUCCUUCACUACUUUCACAAGUUCCAUUGAUAUUUCUUGUCCACUAAAAGAAUUUCCGACCACCACCACUAUCUAUAUAUAUAAAAGACAAAAUCAGUGAUUUUUUGAGGAGUGUUAGCUUAAUAAUUUAAUUCAGAUAUGCCUGCAUUAUUUAAGUUUCCACCAAACUAAAAAAGAAAAUAUAAGUUUAAUAUCUGUUCAUGUACCUCCCCGCGGAAGGGCUCUGGAGACCUGUAAACGUGACUGUGCAUUUGUUUUCUUCUCCAUUUCUCCAUUCCUGAGCAUCAAAAACGGGAUUAUUAGAAAUAUAUAUGGAUUUGAUGAGAUAGUGUGCAUGCAAUAUUAUUGCAUGGAGGUACCUUGAAUGCAGGGCAAUCUAGGCUUAGAGUAAUGGCCAGUGGCCACAACCACAGCGUCAAAGACUUGUUCAACUUCCUUAUUACUCUCCUUGUCUUUGCUUCUAACAAGCCAUUUCAAAUCCUGAGUAGAGACACCAUAGUUUAAGGGUCCAACAUAAAGAACCUUUGUGUUGAACUUGAUAAUCUCUGUGACCUUAAACCAUUCACAGAAGUCCUUGAGGUAGAGAAGGAACUCUGUGUGGCUAGGAAACCUCCUAGGGUCUCUACCUUUCUUCACUGAAAAAGGGAAAUCAGUGAAGCCCAUGACCUCUCUUGGGGACAUCAGCCUUAAAGAUUGGUAGAUGCUACUGUGCACCUUCAGCCAAGGGUUUCUUCCCAAAGGGUCAUCCUCUUCUUCUACAUUUGGCUCAUAUAGCCAUUGCCCUCCAAUGUCAUGCUUCUGCUCCAACACCACCACCUUCUGACCUUCCCUUCUCAGCUCCCUCGCCACCACUAUCCCCGAUGGUCCUGCUCCAAUCACACACACACUCUUCGAUUCUUUUCUUUCUGAAUCCAUAUCUUCUCAAUCUCUGAAUAUGGAAACAUCUCACCAUGGAUUUAUAGUUCAAUUUUCUCACCAAGGAAAAUCACGUGUGGUAUAUGGAGAAACUUUUACAUCUAGUUUAUUGGAAAAAAGAAACAAACUUUUGUUAAUGGGUUGUUCAAUUUCUCUUUCUUUUUUUCUUUUUUUUCGGUCAUCUCUACCACUUUGUCGGAUUUAUGUUUAAUAAAACCAUUUAGAAUGUUGUCGUGCUGUGGUACAGGAAUGGCCAUUCUAAAAUAAAGAAAAAUGUUUUGCACACCUUUUGACAACCAAUAAUUGAGCAUAUCUUAUUUAUAAAAAAUAAAAGUUAUGUUUCUAAAACAAGGUUUUCUUUUUCUACAUUUUAAACUAAAAAAUAGUGUACUCAAUUUUUGAAAUUUUAUUUUAAAUGAAAUCAACUGUUGAAAUCACCAUUUUUUUUUUCAAGAAGAACGCAAUUGUGUCUUAAAACAUAUAUAACCUUGGUAUUAUAUUUUUUUAAAAAAUGUAAGGUCUAGUUAAUUUUGUUUUCUUUACCUUUGGAAAUUAGAAUAUAACAAAGUGGAAGAGCUCUCAAUCUAAAUUGUUUUUUAAAUAUUCUGUUGAUGUUAUACCUCAAAUAUAUUGAAUUUGUUUAUUUUGAUAAAUCAUUAAAAGUAUUAUUAUACAUAAAACUCAUUCUAAUAUUAAAAAAAAUAUUAAAUAAUUGAAAAGUUUUUUCUUUUCCAAAUUAAUAUUGAUUCUUUAAAAAGUUUGUCAAAAACUUUAGUUCACAAUAAGGAUUUUAUAUCGGCAUUGAUUUUUCUUUUAUUGGUUAAUGUCAGAUACAAUUAUUUUAUUUAGCAAUAUUAAUGUUGCUUUGACAUGGUUGAUAGAGUUAUUUCCUCUUCUUUUUUUGUUGACUUUCAAUAGAUAUUGGUUAAAAAUACUAACCAUUGAAAAAAAAAAUAUCCAAAAGUUUUUCUGUACUCAAAGGUAAAAAAUAUAUUAUCAAGAAUUUUGGUAAAAAGCAUAGCACUGUGACAUGAAUUGAAUAAUAGAAAAAUCCAAUAAACAUCAAGUGAAAAACAUUAUUAACAUCAAUGAAGAAUCUCUAUAAAAAAUUAGCAACAAUUAAUUUUAGCUUUAUUUAUUGUUUAUAAUUUAUAUGAUAAUAAUUUUAUAAAUGAAGUUAGAAAGACUUAUGGACCAAAACUUAUUCAUAUGGGUAAAAAAAGAGUUGUGCUCUUAUAUUAUGAUAUAUUAUGAGACUCAUAAAAACAACCACAUAUCAUGCUACAUUUUUUUUGUCUUCUUCAUUCUAUAAAAUAGAUUUAGGUUUUAGAAUUUAGAAUAUUUUAAAUUACAUAAUUUAAAAAUAUAUUUUAAACGCAUUAUAAUAAAAACAUAUUUGUUAUUUUGCAUAUUGUGUUAGGUGAGAAAGGAAAGUAUGGAGAUAAGGUAGAAAAAACCUAUAAUCAUAUGGAAACCUAAAGGGUCAAUCAUGAACUGAUUAGUUAACAAGAAGGCAGAAUAGAAUGUCCAUCACCUCAUGUUUUUCAGGUAUACAAUGGUUUUUUCAAAUUUUAAAAACUGUAUUUUGUAGAUAAUUUAUUGACAGUUUUUAUUUAUUUUGUAGAUAAUUUUUUGCAUUAUAGAUAUUAAUUUUAGUUUUAAAAAAUGAUUAAAUUAAAAAGAAGUUAAAUAAAAAUAUAGUAAUAUAGUUAUUUUAAUAUAAAAAAUAGUUACUUAUUAAAGGAUAAAAUUGAAGAAAAAAUUAUAUAAUAAUCAUUAGGUAAACAAGGGUUGAGAGUUAAAGCUUAAAUAAUAAAUGAAAAAACUAUAUUAAUAGUUAUUAAAAGAUGAAGUUAAGUUAUUGAUUUACGUAGUAUAUAGAUAGAUGAAGACGUAUGAUAUAUAUAGAUAAUGUUUUGAAUAUAUAGAGAUAAAAUGGUGAAUGGUGAGGUUGUUCCAUGGAUGGUCCCAUAUGGCCAUGCAAUAAUAUUGCAUGGUUAGGGUAGUUUGGUUGACAGAGUAUUGUUCCUCUCUUUUGGUUAAGGUUAUUUUCUGUCAAUAACGCAUUGUUUUGGUUAGCAGGAAAAUCAAUAACGCAUUGUUUUAAUCCAACCAUUUGCAGAUCAUUACUUUAACACCUUUUAAGAUUAACAAUAACACACCAAGGUAUGUCACCACUUCUUUUCUCAUCACAAACAAUUUCCUAUGCUGUCUCUUUUUCUUUAUUUUCUUUUUACUUUCCACGUUAAACGAAUGCAUGGUGUGAUGAUGAUCAACAUUUUCUUCAAUGUUUUCAAGGGAUUAUUAUAUUCAUUCCUUUCAUCAGAUCAUAAUCAUGAUGGUUGGUCAGAAAUCUGAAUCUCAGUUUCUGAUGUAUUAUCCUGCUUUUGUAGAACACCUAGAUCUUUUUUCCCUUUUAAAACCAAAUUUUCAAUCUGUUUCCUGGUUUGGACUUUCCUUCAAACUAUCUUUAACCUAACAUAAUUUGGUUGUGUAUCAAAAGUAAAAUUCAUUGCAAACUUUUAUGGAGUAUUAAUUAUUUGUCUAUCUCCUGGUAGUGUUGGCAAAAUGAACCAACCAAUGUAAUUAUCUUAGUAACAUGCUAGAAUUUCUUUGCCCCUACUUUUUUAUAUAAAAUCUACUUGAUAUAGGAAGUCAUUAGUAAUUCGCUUUUUGUGCAUGGUCAGUAACACUUCAUUCAAGGCUUUAUUCUGUGGAUCUAGUUAUCAUUGGAGGCUAGGCAUGCUAUUUGCACAUUCAAGUUUUUAAUUCUCUUCUUCGAAAUGUUUUCAGAUCACUGAACAAGUAAUAUACUAUAAUAUUUUUGGAUGAUCUAGAUUGGUGAAAAUAAGUUGUACACAUUUCGUGUUGACCAGCAUAUAUACUUCCCUUGGAUUGUUGUUUAUUGCAGGGGUCUCUGAAUCAAAGUGAUGGAAGAGGAAAGUAGUCUUAACCAGUUAAAGUCUGAGAAAAUUGAGCCUGAAGAUGUUCCUGAAGAGAUUUUAACCAACAAAAAAGUUCCACCCAAGAUUAUUUCGCGUUAUCUUAGUGGUCCAAAACGUUCCUGCCAUGAUCUUUGCAAAUAUGGCAUCCCACAGGCCGUUGAAGCCAAACCAUGGAUACUAACACUGAGAAAGGCUACCACAAAGGAAUGGAAAGCCAAAGUUCCAGAACAAAAUGUGACUUCUUUGGCAUGGAGAAAAAAAUCAAGGCCUUCUCAAACACCAAAAGUUCAGAAGGCCAAUAGUCCAGUUGACAUCAAGGAUGUAGUAACAUAUGAAGAAACAGUUACAUCAGAGAAAAAAUCACCACCUUUUGAAGAAACAGAUGUUCCCUUGGAGCAUAACAACAGUGACCUAAAGCAUGAACAGGAAUGUUCCAAAAGUGAAACAAAAAGGGAAAUGGUAAAAAACAAAAGUCCUGGUUCAAACAGCAGAAGCAAACAGACCGGAAAACCUUCAACUGGAGGCAAGAAAAAAUCAACCUCAACAAGUCUUCCAUUGUCUUCAAAACGCAGUGGCAAGAAACCUCGAAGCAGAAGUUCCAAUAGUCCCGAGAACAUGACAAGAGAGUCUUCUAUGAACUUACCAGAAAAGAUCCUUCAUGUCACCGAACCUGCCUCUGCAAAUUCAUCUGAGGACCCUACUGUGGCUUGUGAUGCAACUAAGUUGUCUUCACCCUCACUUUCAUCAUCAGGGGACAGAAGCUUGAAGCACACCAAUAAGAAAAAUUGCGAGGCUCCUGCAUCUUCAUGGAAGGGCCUUAGAUCUGUGGCCGGGAACAAAAGGAAGGUACUUAUGCAGCUCAAAACGCGCAGUCUUUCGCCAUCAUCAUCACCAUCUGCGUCGUCAUCAUCAUCUAUUUUCACUUCCAAAUCUUUCCCUGAGAAACAAAAUAACGCUGCAUCAAGGUUCUACUACAAAAGACGACAUGAUCAUCAUCAAGGUGAAGAUGUGAAGAUGGGUUACAAAAUCAGGCCAAAAAUGAGCGCAAAAGUUGGGUUCACCAAUAAAAGUGUCGUUGCAUCCCGGAAAUUGAAAUUUAGGAGAGGACGAGUGAUCGAACUUGAGCCUCAGAUGAACAACGUUCCAAGGAGACUAAAAUUCAGGCCAGCACGCAUUCUUGAUGAUGACAUGGGAAGAGAUAUAGAUGGUGCAAGAAAAAGUAUCAUUGAGGAUAAUAAAGUAGAUGGUGAUGAGGUAAAUGCUGCAAAUACAAAAUCAGAGAAACAUAGAGGAAAAGUUAGAAACGUGGAAGUAAGUAAAAGGAGAAUUAUUGUUGGGAGGAAGGUUGGUGGAGAUAAGAGCAAGAUAGGAAGUUCAAAAUCAGGAUCUGAGAACGUGGUUUUGAAGCAUCAAGAUGUGGGAGGGAAGAAACAAAAUCCACGUUUGUAUAAUAAUGUGAUUGAAGAGACCGCUAGUAUUCUUACUGAGCAAAGGAAGAGCAAAGUUAAGGCUCUAGUUGGUGCGUUUGAAACAGUGAUUUCCCUUGAUUCUCUUAAAGAUGCCACUGCAGCGGAAGUAAGCACAAGUUGAGUUACCUAAGGAUUCUUGUGAAUUCAACUUCAACAUACAUAUAACUGUUAAUUUGGUGAUUGGGUUUAUUUGGCUAAUGAUGUUAAUGGUGUUCUAAUGUUUCCUUGGUAUUGCUGAUAAAAAAAAGAAAGUUUCCUUUGGUGUCAUUAAGAUUUGAGGAAUAAUACUAUUUCUCUGGGUGUGUUGAGUGGGCUGUUUGUUCGUUAAUGAUAUAGCUUUUCUGCUCUGAAUUGUCAGGAUAUGCUAAUACCAUUAUGUUUGUGUUGAGUGGAACAACUUUCUACCUUCAUGGCCAAGUUAUAUAUGAUUCUUCCUUGUACAUGAUUUUGGAACCUCUUUUUUUCUCUCGCUUGGAUUACGAUCAUGAGAAAAGUUUCUGCUGAAGUUGGAAGACAAGAUGAGAGAUAUGAAAAGGAGGAUAUUGCACGUUAUCUUUUAAUCGGUGAUUUAUUACUUUCCAAUAUCAAAAGACGCAAAGAAAAAGAGAUUUACGGUUAAGGAUUUUAUGUAAAAUUCUGUGUUUCUUUUAAAAAUAAUUUUCCAAAUACAAGAAGAAAGAAACUUAAGAUCGGAUUAUAUGAUUGGAAGGUGGUAAUACAAUGGAGUGGUGGCAGAAUAAAUAAAAAAGCACACUAACUUCUAAUUGAUGAGUUAGUGCACGUUCGUUUAUUUUGCAAGCAUUUUUAUUGAUCAAUAAAAAUAGUUUAAGCCGGAAUUACAUUUUAGUCACAGAUAGCUACUUUUAUUUCCAUGCCAGACAACAAUAUGCUUUCACAGGGACCUUGCUUGUUUUUCAUUUUUGAUCGAGUUCUUUCUCGUCUCGAGUUGUUCAUUUCUUCUGCGUUGCAACCCUGCUCUAGCUCCUUGCGCUAUCAUAUCUUCCCUUGUCACCUUACUAUGGUAAUUUUGCACUUUCCUUGCUCCCUGUUGUUCCAUCACCAAUGAGAUUACUAAAUUAACAUAUUUAAAAUACAUCUCUAAGAAUUGAGGAAAACCUUCUUCACUUCCCACCUUGACUCUGGCCUGAAUCGUUUUCACAAACUCCCAGGAAAGAAUUUUGGACUUCAUUAUCUCAUACCUGAAAAAUUAUGCCUACAAUAUAAGAGGAAACUAAAUCCAGAUUCCUAUUUGACAACCACUUUGCAUCAUAGGCAACAGUUAUUCAGAAAAGAAAAAUAUAUAUAUUGAAUGAGCUGCUUAAGAAAUUAGCAUUACUGCUUUUGAAUCAUUUUUUUCAGAGCCCUUUCACAUGUUUCUGGUCUGGUUUUGGUAUUUUUGUGUGGUAAUGGAACCCCUUGCUGCCUCUGAUACCGUAGUGCAGGAGAUACAGGUCUUGGAGACGGUGUACUACUUGGACGUCUAACAGGAAAAUCAGUUUCUUUGGUCCUAGGGUCUUGUCCGAGUGACCUUUUCAUGGAAGUUUCCCCUGCUACUCAAAAUAUAGCAAUUACUCAUACCAGCUAGUAGUGAAACUUUACAACAUUAGGUAGAAUGUUAUAAUUACCAUUACUUAGCCGCUUUGAUAUGCCAUCCUCUUCUCUUCUCAUCGUUUGAGGCCUCGAAGAAUUGGGGUGCUCUCUCAUUUUUUGCGAGCCAUGUAACUCUGCUUCUUCUAGAGAAUGAAUCGCAAAUGCCGUAGCUGCAACUGAAGUUACGUACUCGUCGUCUCUUACAUGGUCAUCGUGAGAAGUUAUCCUUGGGAGCCAGUUCCAAGUCUUGUCACUUGACCCAUGGUGUUUUGGAGAAUGGGGAUCAGAAAAUGACACUCUAAAAUAGAGACCAGAAAUUUUUGGUUCCUAUUCAGCGAUAUAAUUGGCAGGAAACCAAAAUGAUGUUUUUGUAUGUGAAACAUAAACAGCUCAACCAAGGAAAUAUAAGAAACAAUUCAGAACGAAAUUACGGCAUACAGAAAUUCAAAGCAAGAUAAGCAACAAAUGGCAUCACAACUUGCACUUACGAAGCCAAUACCUUCUUUGGUGGAGUCUAUUUUCCAUUCCUUGAAAUUGAAAUCUGUGCAGACUUUUCAGUAUUGAACUUCUAAUUUCCAACCUGCUUGACUGUAUAAAGAUGAACUGGGAGCAGGCUUUAUACGUAAGGCAGCCUCCAGCCAGAGACCAAAGCUGCAUGCAGACAAGCAAAGCAAAAUAGGCUUUACAAGCAGCCUCUAGAUUAUGCAAAGUAUCGUCUCUUUCUCCUUUCCGUUUCCUUGAACUACACCCAUAUGCACGUAAACCUUUAUCAUCAACUUGUUUACAGUUUUAUUUUACAUGGUUUCUUUCUCACUAAAAAGACGUAUUUGUCACAUAAUCAACUUUUGGUACAUUGAGGAUUAUCACAUAUCAGAACAGAAACUUCGCCCCUAAACUGAAGCUAUUCCUUUUUUUCCUGGUAAGGGUAUAAUGGCACGUUUACGGGCAGGCAGAGACGUAGAUUAUCUUGUGAAUAGAGUUGCAUAUAUACAAAAAAGCUAGCUCGCAAGCACAUCUUUUUUCAACUCUUUAUUUUUCAUCUGUGCCGUCAAAUUAGUAAAAAUUAUCGAAAGUAUUUUUCAUAAUUGCAUACAAAAUUCACUGUAUAAAAGAUCCAUAACUCAGAGGUGGGUUUGAACUUUGAAGUAAACAAGACAAAUAUAUGGUCGAGGUUGUUACCCCCGAACCAUAUCAGCUAUAAUUAAUUACAGCAGUGGUAAUUAGUGGUGGCUGUUAUCAACCGCCACUUUUCUAUAGUUUAUAUGAUACAAAAAUGCUCAUCAACUCCUACUACAAAAUAUAUUACUUCUCAGAAAGUAAAAUAUAUUUGGCAUUGACUAAGAAACGACCUUUGGUUAUAACUCGGGCAGGUUAAUCUUCAGAGACGUCAGCUUUUUGAAUUUUGGUGUGGCUUGUAUUAGCAGUGUGAAACAUGUAUAAGGGACCAUACUCAGUUAACGCGUGAAGAUCCGUGCAAUACCAACAAAAAUUGGGUUCACGAUGUUUAACCUCAGAGUUCAUCAACCCCGUUAGCAAUUUCAGCUGAAAAGAACUGCUCUACUUUAUCGAUGAAACUGGGGGGAAAUCUACAGUGCAACAUUAAAUACGAAGGCUCGCCGUGCUUAGGAGCCAGUUCUUCAGAAUGCUUAGUUGUUUUGGCGUCCCGUUGGCUUCUUAUUCUGCCAUUUUUUACGUUAUUUCCCGAUGCACCACCCUUUCCAGAGGCAGCCCGAGUGGCUUUGCCAUUGGAACGGCCACAUUUUACAGGAAUUUCCACAUGCGGUUUUUUUAUUUCGGCACCUAAUUGAUUGUAUUCACUAGAUUCAUCUGCAGUGGAAUUGUCUAAGGCGGAAUUAAGCUGAGUUGCAGGUGCAGCAUUCCUACAAGACCUCAGCAAGGAAAGUAGCAUGUCAACACUCAGUUCUUGUUGAACUACAAACUUGUUCUGCUCACACCCGUAGCAAGCAGCAACUAAUGUGCCAGCCAAGACCGGCAUCAACUCUGGAUCACUGAAGAAAACGAAUGGCAGAUCGCAAACCUGUCCUCUUAUGGGUGAACAUUAGAUUAACUUGAUAAAUAGAACAAAUAAACCAAAAUUAAAUAAUAUUUAGUUUCAGACCUUGUGGAGGAUGGUGGGACUCUGUCCCCAUCGAAGAACAGCCUGAUUUCCCGGAUGAAACAAGGCAAAGUGACCAAGGAGAGAUAAAGAUUCAAGCACAAGAGAACCAACCUGAAAAAAAAACGCCAAUUGUGGCAUUUUAGUAACUAAGGCAUUCUAGCAAAGGUACAUCCAAAUACCAACCAUGCAUGGAGAGUUGAGGCAAGGGGUUCUUUCCCAUUAUGAAUAUUAGUUAGGAAAGCUGGGCUUAGCAAGGUCAACACAAGUACUGUAUCACUCAAGAUUAUGAAAGAAUUUCAAGUUGUUGGUGAUUCACCUGAUCAGUGGGAGAUUUCCACUUGAUGGCAGAAUGAGAAAGAAGGAAGCUCAUCAAAUGGAAAAUUUCCAUUUUCAAAUCAGGCCUAGCCUGGAAGUAUAAUAGCAUAAGGAAAAUAGGAAUAUAUAAGCAAGAAUCAGUACCAGGAAAAAGAGAAAAUCAAACAUAUUAGCGAUCUUAAUUUAACAUGCAGCUGCUUUAAUAGAUCAUUAUUACAAGGAAAAUAAGCAAACUUACCAGCAUUCGCUGCAAAAAUACUAGAUCCAAAAGAGCCACGUUGUUCAGCACCUUCAGUACUCCAGUUGCCACCUCUUCAAAAUUAGAUGGAAGGAUAUAUGAGGCCUAGAAGAAAAUGAAGUUAUUCAACUUAGACAUAGCACAACAAAAAUAAUAAUAGCUACUUAUUUACUUAUUACAAGGACAGGAGCAAUUGAAGGUGUUAAGCAUAUGAUUAAUUACAUUAAAUAGGAAAAUAUAUUAUGAUUUGACUACGUCAAAUAAGGAAAUAUUUCAUAAUUUUAAUUACUGAUUUUGUUCUUUAGUACUGCAAAUCUUUUUCAUUAUAAAUAAGAAUACUUGUAUAUACAAAACAGACAAUUACAAGCAAUCCUUUCAAUAGAAGGAAAUAAUUAGGCAUGUGACAAAUAGCUAACGGCAAAAUUCUUCAGAAAAACAAAGAAAUCUACUGAUUUUUCACAAUAAAGAUCUUCAAAAUAAUUCAGUGAACGAACUUGCAGGUUGUAGAAAACCUACCUGUUCUGAGGAUGAUCUAUUGUUUGCCUGCAGAAGAACAGCAGUCAAAAGAGAAGGGAGACUGACAAGUCCUGUUUCAGAAAUAGCUGAAAGAAGAAAUACUACUGGCUGACCCAAAUUUGUUACUUUUUCGUUUUUCUGUAUUGUAGCAUUUACCACUGUAUGUUUAUCGUCCUUUUGGGGAAUAGACAAAUUAGUCAUAUCCCCACUCUGAUUUUUCUUGGAUUCAUCUAGAUCUAUCUUUUCUAUAUCAUCAUGUUUCAAUUUAACAGAACUACCACGCUCCAAUUCAGAAUCCUUCCCAAUAGAAAUAGAUUCAUUAUUCUUGUUCACCUUAAUCAUUUCAUCUAAUGGUCUGUCCUCAGGGACAUCAGGUAAAUGCACAACUGAGCUUCCAUUGAUCGUUGAUAGGGGAGUGUAAUCUCCCCAGGAAUUAUUCACGACAAAAUGUGCAGAAUCAGCAAGCUUAGUCCCUUCACUACCAAUUUCCUGCUCCAUUGUCAAAGGGCAAGACUCCCAGUCAAUAUAAUUCAAUCUUCCAGAUCUGGAGGUCAAAACCACCAAAAGUUGUAUGCUUAAGAGAAUAGGGCCAGGAAAUGCUGACCCUUCCGUCUGUGGCCUAUCAUGAAGUGCAAAAAGAUCUCUUAACCUGUGAAUAACUUGGUAAGAAAUCAGUAACUCCAAUAAGCCAUCCCGCAUCUGAAGUUGUCUCUCUUCUGAGCUAAUAUGACCAAAAAUGGCAGUAACAGUCCACAAAAAGUUAUUUAAUAUUUCAGAAAUUGAUUCAAAGUUUUCAACUGAUGCUUUACUUGAUGGCAAACUUAAGUUACCAGGAACACCUAAAGAUGCUGCAAUCUUUAUAUAAUUCUCAAGAGCUGCAGAAAGCAUUGGGAUAAUUGGAGGCAGAAGAUUCUGUGCAAGGAAAUAACUUCUAUUUGAAGGUGUAGACAGCACAACUCUCAGAAGUUUUAACAAGUGCAACAUAACCUGGCAUGCUUCAGGUUUUGAUGUGUGAGAUGCAGGCAGGGCAGAAGCAAUAAAAUCAAGUAGUCCAGCUUGACGAGAUGCUUGUAACUCGGGAUCCUUUCCUUCCAAAUACUAUAAAAUAAUAAUCAAUAAAUAAAUUAACAUAAAGUUAAAAAAUAGCAAUUGAAAAAAAUUACUAACCAAAAACUCCACAGUAUAAAAGGGGAAAUGCACUCGCUUAAACUGUAAAUAUUCUUAAGGGAAAGGAACUUGGUUCAACAUUUAGUCAGGAACAAGGAUUGGUUGGACAAUUAUCCGUGCAAGUUAAGUGAUUUAUGAUUUCUGAUUCAACCGUAAGAAGACCAUAUGCAAGCACCAACCAGAUAAGACAAACUAAAUCUCAGCAAUAACUAAAACAAAUACAGCAUCAAGAAUCACUAGUUAUUCCAGAUUAAUAUUUAUUCACAGACUAAACAAGAGCUCUCCAAGAAGUGCUAUUUUAAUUAGCACGGGAUUCAGAAAACAGAAGUGCAAAUACAGAACAUCUAUCCAUAAAAAACUUUACCCACAGAAACAUUCUUAACUUUGAACAUGUUAACAUACAUCUGUUCAUAAGGAGAGGUGUAAUUACCGGUGAACAAAAAACAAUACCUUGAUCAUUUCAGAAAUUAUUAAACCUAUACUUGCGGCCCCUUCUUUUCUUGCUUGCCUAAGUCUUUGAAGUUCUUGAAGCCACCGGCCAACUUUUGCUCUAGCAGCACCAACUGCUACUCUAUAUCCCAGACUAGCACUUUCACCACCAAGAGGGGGUUCAAGGAAGUCAUACUUUAAAGCCAUAAGCCUUUGCCGAAUUCUCUUAAUUCUUCUCUUCAUUGAGUGCAGCAAUGUGAUAUUGCCAAUUCCAAGACUAGUAGAACCAAUGCCAGAAACAUUUGUUUGAGAAUCAUCGAUGCUGUUUGUAGGGGUAGAUCUACCUUGCCCUUCCUUAUUUAAUGAUCUCCGCAGCAAAGGGGACGAUUGAUCCCUCAAAUUUGCCCUCUCCCGAAUUUGUUCCAGGUAAAUCUUACGACGCUGUUCACUCUCAUUAAGUCUCUCUGCUAAUUUCUGGGCCAAAAGUUCAGCUUCCUCUUGUUGUGCUUUGGCUCUUUCUUCCUUUCUCCUAAGUUGUUCGAUUGCCCUUGCUUCCCGAGCUGCACUUGACGCUUUUCUUUCCUCUUCCCGUCUUACUUGAGCCUCCUCCUUUCUCCGCUGAAUCUCAGUAAGGCGCUGUAACUUCUCAGCUUCAAUGAGUUUUCGACGCUCUAUAACAGCUUCUUCUCUUGCCAAAUCCUCCUUUUGCUUAGAUUUCAGCACUUGAAGCUUUUCAGCUCUCCUCAACUCUGAUUCAUGAAGUUUCUGACGCAGAAUCAAUUUUUUAUUCUCUUCAUUUAAGGAAGUAAUAAACCGAACCUCAUUAACCUUGCUACUUUCAUCACCAGCUCUCUUCACCACUUGAGCUAAGAAAGCUUCAUGACGAGAUUCACUGCGCUGAUGGCGCGCAUACAUGCCCUCUCGUAACUUCAUAUGACGAACAGCAUGCCAUUCUGUGACACGAUUUAAUUUUUGUGAUGUUCGUUGAAGCUUUUGGACUCUUUCAUUCUCUAACUCACUUCUGAUUCUCAUAGCACGGGCAUGCUUUUCUUCUGCUUCCCUUUUUAAGUCUGAAGUUGUUUUCUUCUUUUUGUCAGGAGACAUUAGUUUAUCAUGCAGAGUACGUACUCGCUCAGCACUUUUCCGGCCCAGGCUUGGUGAAUAUGGCAUGCGGGAAGAGACACGAAACGGAGAUGAAAGUAUGUCCUCCCAGUUCCUCUUUUCCUUCCAAGCAUUCAGAGACUUUCCCGGGGCAGUACUCCUUUUCUCCUUAUCUUUUUCAGGCAGUGGCAUUUGCCUCCUAAUGUUAUCUGUGGAUCUGGGGGGUUUCUCAUUAACACCUUCUGUUAGAGCUUUAUCUUUCUUAUAAAGCGUCUUGUCCAGUCCAGAACCAAGGUGAUUUCUUUUACCCUUGGUGGUGGCAGAAGCAAAAGAAUUUUCCAAGGAAGGUAAUUUAGAUAACUUAACUUCUGAAAUUAAUAUGUUUUCUGGAGGGUUACAUCCAUUUAGCAUUGUGUUUGAGUCACGGGAUUUUCCCCCUUCAAUAAUAUGCUCUUUUUCAUUCAGGCUACCUUGUCUGUCAUCUGAAGAUCCAACAUGCUUUCUUGACUUCGUCACCAAAUAUUUGGCAGCAUCUGUCCCAUUAAUGACCCUAGACUUGUUUGUGUUGCCAAUAGAUUCAGAAGUCAAAGACAUGGAACUUUCUGUGGUACCUGAUUGCAAGAUAGCCCUCUCUUGUUGAAUCUUUCUAAAAGCCUCAAGAGAUGAAGAUAGUAUAUCUGCCCUAUGUGGUGAAGUUGUCAUUCUUCGGACCUAGAAUCCAUAGAGCAUCUAAACAUCAAGAACAUAAGAAAGCCAGAUUGUACAGAUUUCUAGCAGAUAAACUCAUAUUAUGGAUCAGCAUCUUCAGAAACCAGAAAGCAAACAAGUAAACAGGUAUAGACCAUAAGUGGUUUCAUGCUUAAAUUAAAAAAAAAAAUGUUAUGCUUCAUUAAUAUUUUUUUCUUAGUCCAAGAAAAGUAAACCAAUAACUGUUAGUCUAAACUACAAUAAUGUUUAACACAAAUUGUUAAGUGAAUCCAGUUGGUAUGUCUUGAAUUUCAUCAUGCAAAAGUUAUAAAAGUACAAUAAACAAAUAAUAUCCAAUGGUGGGUUAGAUCUUGUAACAGUGUUAGAUGAGUACGUUCACGCUUAGUUCAUUUGAUCCUAACAUCUAUCAUACCCAUCAGACAAAGUAGAAACUUUAGAUAUACGUACAAUCACCAAGACAGAUGCAUAUUUAUGCAGGAGUUACAGAUACAUAUCAAGACUUCUAAUUUCAUUAUGCCCUCAUCAGAAUUGAUAAAACAAAAAUAAGAAGAAAAUGGAAAGGGAUGGUGUAUAUAUAAUGUCAUUAGCGAAUAAUUAUUCCGCACUCUGCAUAAAUGCACAUAAUUACACUCACUUUGUCCCAUGCAUUCAAUGAUAACAAGUGUAACUAUCUUUAGUAUUAUUGCUUAACAAGACGGAAAAAUAUAGACAUUAUUCAAAAAAAAAAAUCAUUAUUAGUGAAUAAAUUUUAUUUUCUUUGACAGAGGAUCCAUGGUUGUCAUGUACAACAUACAAAAUUUAUGAUAUUAGUAUCUUGGAACCACAAAAUAUGAUCUUAACCAGCAAAAAUAUGUGAACGCACAUACCUCCCAUGAGAGAGCAUGUGGCCUGCGGUGAUCACUCUUCAAGAUGACAGGAACGCCAUCCAUUAUUUGGGAAGAUUUUUUAACCAUUUCAAAUUCCUCUACUCUAGUGAUUAGCUCUCUAAAAUCAGAUGCAGACUCCUCAAGAACAAGAAUUGCCUCUUUCAUCUGCUCCAAAUCACAUUCUAGUUCACAAAGAAGAUAAAGUUCAUCGACAGACCUAUUAAGAUUCUCAAACAGAAAGCACCAAAGCCUCUGCCUAAACCUUUCUUUGCUUUCAUUGGAAUCACCUUCUUCAAGAGAACCCAUAUUUUGAGAGGUUGAAACAACAUUUUCCACAUUACCAUCCAGUGAAACCCUGCCGGCUUCAGUAGAAACCACAGAAUCAUUGACAAUUUCAGGCACUUGUGACUCAGUAGAGUGGGCAGUAACUGCUUCACUUAAACUGCCAUUUUGUUCUGGCACUACACACAUUUUUUUAUCACUUACCAAAUUGUUAGAAGAGGCAUGUGCAUGACUUGUGACCUCGGCAGCAUCUUUGGUGGACAGACUGUCAUUGUUUACGGCACCAUGGGUUGUUGUUUUAUUCCCUUCGACAUUGUUCUCAUCUUGUGGACCAAUAAUUCUUUCAUCAACCAUUUGUUGAUUGUUAAAAUGUUCCAAAGAUAAAUUCUUAACAUCUUUACCAUUCUCCCCAAGUAUUUCAUCUUCAUGUCUCAUCAAAGGGAUCUGAUCAGAAGCAGACCCUCCAUUGAUAGCAUUCACCAUUAAGUCUUUUUCUUGAGCAUGAUAUGAAUCACAAGGUUCAGGAAUAUUCUCAUUCUUUCUACAGCUAAGCAAACUAUCAUCUCCAAUACUACCGAACUUGAUCCCAACCCCAAUCAAGUUUUCAUGGGGCAGUGCCAAGCCCCCCUCCUCUAAAUCACCCCAUCUUAUUUUCUGGGCUAAGUCAGGCUUAUCAGUUUGCUGUAGUUUCCUAACUUCUUCAUGUUUACCUUGAGAAUCAACAGUAAUUAAUGCAGUUGAGUUCUGACUUUCUGCAUUAUGUCUAACUACGCCUGUAUUAAAACAGUUUGUGCUCUCUUUUUCAUUUGAUUCAGCAAGAGAACUCGACACACUCCCAGAGGCAGGGUUCUGUGAAAAAUUUUCCCCUGACCUUGAAGGAUUAUUUUUCUGCUGGCUACGUGAACUGUCAUCGGUUUUAGUAAUGCAAUGCUGAGUGUGCAAAGAGUUAGAGGCCUUUUUGCCCGAAAAUCCUCCCACCCAACUCUGCAAAGAGAAUUUCGAAGUAUUUCUGUGCUUCUGGAUAAGAAAGAAAUGACAAAAUUAGAACAUGUAAGUAACACUUGUACAAGAAGCUACGCAGAAAAGGAAGAAAAUAAUAUUCAGUGCAAGGCUCAGAUAUAACCAAAGGAGAUGAAUGAUGAUAUGUAAGAAUUAGCACAAUCAAAUUGAAAAAUAAGAUUAAAGGUUAGAGCAUAUAUAUGAAUACUUAAUGACUGAUCCAUCAACUGUGAAUGCAUUAAUUAGUAAAUAACUAUACACUAGGUCUACAGAUUUCCUUAUUGUGUCUUCAAUUUUAUCUCUCAUCAAGUACAAAUCAAAAUGUCAUAGUAAAAUACAUCUCAAACGAGUUAAAAUAUUUAAAGAAAAAAAAAAACCUUUUUAACUUGGAACCACCCUGUGUUCUGAUCAUCAACGACUUCAUUAUCUUCCAUCACGAAACGGCCAAUGCAAUAAAUGAUUACGUGAAAAAAGUUAACAACAUUUCGUAAAAACUCUCAUAGGGAUGAUAAAACAAGACACUGUCGAAAUCGAGAAUCAUUGAAGCAGGGAGGGAAGAGUAUCGAUUGAGAAGGAAUUUGAAAGCUAAAUUGAAAUACUGUACCAAAAAAAGAGUGCGAGUAAAGCAACCACUCUCGAAAAUUAGAGUGGAAAAGAAAACAGAGAGAAAAAUCGGAAGGGUAGCGUGGAAGAAGGGGAUUGUGCAGUUUUGGUUAGGGUUUUGAGGAAAAUUUGGAAAAGGAAUGAACAGAAAGUGUUGAAAAGGAGGGAAUGAGGUUUAUAGGUGGGUUCAGAAACAGCAUGCAUUGCGUUUUCUCUUUCCCUUUCUUUAUUUUCUCUUGUUGGUUGGGUCGGUGCAGUACAGAUACUUUACCAUAAAACAUAUUUCUUCUUCUUUUUCUUUUUCUGUUUUAUUAACUAUUUUAAAGAAUCUCUUCCAAAUAUCAAACAAUAGAAUAUGAUUACGUUAAUUUUGUGUUAACUAAUAAUCUAUAUAUCUUAUAAAUAACUUUCUUUACUUUAAGUUCAUUAAAUAAAAAAUUAUUUACUUUUACCUUGUUUUAUUAUUUUAUAUAUAUUUCUUUGAAUUAUAAAUUGUAGUGUUUAAAAUAAUAAAAAAAAUAAAAUAAAGCCAAAACAUUAACUUUAAAUAAAUAAAUAGAUAUCAGUCAGCAUGUCAUAAACAAAAAUAGUAAUAAAGAUAUAAAGUGAUACAUAAAAUUAACGUAUACUUAGAAAUAAAUUAAAUAUCACAAUCAUAAAUUUAAUGAAGAAGACCAAUAUGUAAUGAUAAUAAAUUAAAUAACAUAAGUAAGUAAAUAAACAUAAUUAAUGAAUAAACUGGAAUAAAUUAAAUGACAUACCUUACUGAUUCCAUUGACAGCUUGUAAUUACAUUUAGAUGAUUAUAACUUAUGAGAAACCCUUCCUCCAAAUUAUUUUUCUGUUUUCUAGUAUCUUAUUUCAUUCAUUGUUGCACAUUUUCUCUUCCACUCCACCUAUUUCUAAGUUAAAUUUUCAUUGUACUUUAAUUUAUUAAAGUUAUUCUUACAUGAAUGUAAUCUUAUAUUAUCUUAUCUCUUUUUUUUCUUUAUUUCUUUUUUUUUUCUUUUUAAUUUUUUCUUAAAAGGUUCAUGAAAUAAUAACUUUUUAAUAUAUAUUUAUUUUUAAAUUCACUCUCACUCAUCUUUAAAUUUAUUCAAAUAUUCAAAUUCUCUUAAAUUCUUUUAAUUACUCUUUUCCAAAUUCACUCGUCUUCAAGACAUCUUACAUUUAUUCAAAUUUCUUAAAAUCUUAGAAAUCAAUUGAUAAUUCAAUUGAUUAUUGAAUACGAAUUCAAUUAUGAUAUUAAAAUUUGAUUUCUAUAACUAAAAUAGUUUAUUAUUGAAUUAGUUAAUUAUUCAAAUUUAUAUAUGAAUCUUUAGAAAAUUAUGAUAAGAGGAUUGUUUGAUUGUUGAAUAUGCUGAUUAAUCCAUUUUAAUCUUCAUAAUUUUUGUAUUAGAUGCCGUUUUUAUUGUUUUGUUCUAUUUUCAUUUUAUGUUUUUUUGGUUUCUAGAUCCUUGGUUUAGUUUAUACAAAAACAGUACAUUGAAUACAAUCAAUAUGGUUCUUAUACUCUAUAUUUACAAAAUUUAAACAACUUACUAUCUUGUCAAAUUAAAAUCUUGUAACUUCUAAAAACUUCAUAAUCAAAAUAUAACAUUGUUUGUCUCAUGAAUAGACAUAAAUAUUAGUUUAAGUAUGGAGGAGAAAUAAUUACACUGUAUUUAUAUUCAUAUUCUAAUUUCUUAUUAGAAUAAAAAUUCUGCAUAAUUGAUAUAAAAAAGUAUUUUCAUAUUUUAAAAAAUAGAAAAAAAACUAUUUAAAUUAAUUAGUCACAUAUUGUUAUGCAUCAAUUGAAAAAAAAAAUAAUACAAAACUAAUGUCAGUGUUCUUCUUUUAUAAUAUUAAACUUUGGAAUAUCCUAACUUUUAUAUGAUUGCAAAAGAAUAUUAGAUAAAUAUUACAAAUAUACCUAUUAUGACUAGCAAAAAAUAUCUUAUGUUAUUACUACUUUAGCUCCUUGUGUGCUCUUUUAUUUUAUUUUAUUUACCUUUCAUUUAUAUUAAUGUGCUGAAAUUUUAAAAAUAUUUUACUUUACGUUUCUUCUAAUUGCUUUCAUUUCAUGAUAUUUAGAUUUAAAUUUUUAUUUUCGCUAGUUUACUUUUCAAUUAAUUUUAUAGAUUCCCAACAUCUACUUUCAUCCUAUUUACCACUGUGUAAAUUUCUUAUGCAAUUUACCGUUCUCCGACUUGAUUUUUUAGUCUUCUUGUUACAUUUCCUUAAAUUUACAUAUACUAUUUGGAGUUAUUGUUUUUCAAAUUAAGUCAUUUUAGUUCAUCUUUAUCAUUUGUGUACAAUUACAAUAAACAGAAAAUAAUUUAUUUUGACUUAUAUUUUUUAACCAAUAUAGUGAAAUUUUGAUAAACGUGAUUAUAAGUUUUAAUCUUUAUAACAAAGACGGAAAUUGAUUACCUUUAUUAAAUCUGAAAAAUUUAAAGAAAAAAAAUAUUUUCUACAUUGAAAAUUGUAGAAUUUUCAGCCCUACAUGAAAAUAACUUACAAUUAUAUAUUUUUUUUUGUUAAGGUAUUUUAUUUAUAUAUUUCCACGAAGAUACAUAGAAAAACAUUAAUAUUCGAUUGCAAAUAGUAUUUAUGUUUUGUAUUGGAUAUAUUUACCUAGUUAGAGUUAAUAGUGAAAAGUUAACUAUAUAAUAUUUUACUCUAAUUAAAAGAUAAAACUCAAUCAUUUUACUAUAAAAGUUUAAUAAUAUGUAGAUUUUAUUUUAAGUAAAUUUCAUUUUAUAAAUGUUAUUGUUUUUCAAAAUAUUUUUCUGAAUUUUUUAUAUUUUUUCUUUAAUUUUCUGAGUAUGUUUCUAAUAUAUAUGAUGAUUAGAGACCAUUAAUGUAUUUAUGAUAGGAAGAUUUACACUUCUCAUCAAUUAGAUUCUAUAAUAGAGUAAGUUCAUCUUUUUUCUAUCUUUAAGUUAGUUUAACAUUUUAAAGCAUGUGUGGUUUUAGGUUCAUAUGACUUAAACUAUUUCAAAGUGAAUAUCUUUUUAAUUAUGAUAUGCUUAGAUAUAUUAUCUAAUGUUUGUGAGCAUCUUGUGAAAACUAAAGUUCUAGCAGUACCUUUGAGUCAUGUCUUUUUACACUAAAUAAGGGAAACUAAUAAUAUUUUUAUAGUUUGAUUUAUUUUCACUUGUGUGUAUGUUGAUAUUGAUGAAAUGUUGGGAUUGUUUGAUUGAAAAUUGCUUAAUUUAGUUUAAUAUGUGUUUAACAUUGUUGAGUUAAAAUUGAUAUUUGAUUUGUGUGAUUUUGUUUAAUUGGGUUAAAAUUUUUGAAGAACCUUAACGAGUGAAUUUUGUAUUGGAAAUUGUGAUAGAACAUGGUUUGGAUGUUAGGUUGAUAUAUAAUUUGUGUAAUAAUUGAGAAUAGAUAUAUUACCAUUGAGGUAAGCCUUGUCCCGAAAUAGGAUUCCUUGGGCAAGAAAGAAAUUCAUUAAGCAAAUUUGUGAUGGUUAGAUGAUAUAUUAUUGUUCUAGCCAAAAAACAUAGAGACUAAUCAGUUAGAGCAUUCAAGUGUUCUAUUUCGGAUCUCUUCUACUUAUUAUAUCAUCUUUCAAUCACCCCAUCAUGCUUCUUACUUCUCUUUUCCUUAUUUAAGUAAUUUUAAUAAUAUUAUAUCCGUUUAAUUCACACCCUUGCAAUGCUUUAAACAAGUAUUUAAAUGAUUGACUUUAAAAACCCUUCCAUAAGUAAACACAUAAGUAUUUUACCUAAGGCUCAUUCGGUCUUUAGACUUCGACCCCAAUUGACAUUGGGUUAACAUUAUAGUUAUUGUGGAACUAUGAUAGUUUACUGAUGAUUAUGAUGUUAAUUGAUUGUAAUGUGGUUUAAAUGUUGGAACAUAAUGAUAAAUAAAAUGAUGACAAUUUUGUGACAAAGGUGAAUGUUAGGUUGCAUCAAUAUUUAGUUUUGUGUUUACAACUAUUGAGUUAUUAUUUUACUUGUAUUUAGACUUCAUGAUAUGGAUAAGAAAGGAAGAAUGAAGUACUAACACUAAUGGUGAUAAUUUUCUUGAGUUCGUUGAGGUUGUGAUUGAAAGAUAUUGUUGAUUUUGUGUAUUGUACGAAUAAUAUUUUUUUUUCUUAAGGAGGAAUACCAUAUCAUAUAGUGUAGUGUAUGCAUUGAGUAUGAAUAUCGAGGAUGGGAUCAUCCUAACUCUAAUAAACUCAUAGACUCAUAUAAAUAAUGGAGUUAAGGUGUUGGAAACGAUGAUGGUAUUUUAGAGUAGAAAUUUUUUAGGACGAUAUUUUUUCUUGUUGGAGAGAAUGCAAGGAUCUAGAAAAUUAUAUUUUAGAAAUGAUAGUAGUUUAAAAAUAGUGAGACUCGGUUAUUUUCAUAUUACAAUGAUUUAUAUAAAUAUGAAGUUUUAUAAAUGAGUUUCAUUAUUUUAUAACACAUAAUCUCUUUAGAAACUAUUUUUCUAGAGUUCUAUGACUUAUUACUUUCAUUCUCUAUUUGUUUGAUUGAAGAUUUGAGACUGUAGAUCCUCACGAUGGUUCUUCAAUUUGUAUCGACCAAUUUAUCUGUUUAAGUAAGUUGGUUGUUUUGCUCUUUUCUUGAGCUCAAUCUAUUUUCUCUUGCAUGUGAUAUUUUUUUAACUUGCAUGUGUCGUUUUAGUCUUCUAUAUGAGUCUUUGUUGAUCAAUGAUCAUAAUGGUAGGUCUCGAUCGUUCUUGUGAUGUUUCUAUGUGUAAAUAGAGUAUUAUGAGUUUGGUGAUGUUGAGUUGUCUUAGAGUUGUUUAAAUAUUUUUUAAGGUAAACUAAUUUUGACUUGUUUUGUGUGAUUUUGUUAAUUUGACAAAUGCAUAUUGUAGCUAGAUCAAAUUGGUUGUAAAAUGACUUUUCUGAUUAAUCUGGUUUGGUAUGUAUUGUUGAGGUUAUUUUGUAUGAUUUGGAUGAUAGUUGAAUGUUAGAAUGGUUGUGCUUGAUUCAAUUGAUAUUGUGUUUGAACGAGAGAAUUAUAAUUUAAGCAAUUGAACAAACUGAGACAAGUCUUAAUGUUUUAAAAAUUAUUUUAAACCACCAAAGGGGAAGUACCUAAUUGAGUUAUUGAGCAUGGCAAAUUCCUUCAAUCAUAACUUGACUCUUUUUAUAGAAAAUUAAGCAGCAUUAGACUUGCACUGAGCAAGUUUUGUUAUGUAGGUUUAAGAGUAAUUUAGCUCAAAGACGUUGAUCGCUAAUUUUGUGAAUACUUUGGUGUUGAGGGACAACAUGAUGUUGUUGAGCAGUAGUUUUUGUGAAUGCUUUGGUGUUAAGCACCAACAUGGUGUUGCUAAAAGCAAAUUUUUGUGAAUGCUUUGGCGUUGAGCGCGAAUUUCACUGUUUAUUCUAUUUUUCUUUUUAACUGCUUUUGAUGGUUGAUGAUAUUCAUGUCCAUGGCUUUAAUGGUCAAUGUAUCUUAUGUGAAAGUGUUGUUAUGAGUUUGUUAUUGGAUAUGAAAAUGUAUGUGUUUGGCAUAAUUUCAAAAAUCUCAUAUGGAGAUUCUACUGUGACAUUCAUGUGUAUGCAUUAAUGUAUGAAUUCAAGGAGCACUCUUGGUACUCUAAUAAUCAUUCUCACUCAAAUAAAGUAUAAUAUGUAAUGAAGAGUAUAACAACAAGUCCUAAUAUAUGAAUUUUGUUUGGCCUAAAACACAAAAGGAACCUUGUAUGUGAUAUGUUCAAAUGCAUUAGCAAUGAAUUUGCACAACAACAGAGACAAUCACAACACAAAUAUACUUCUUUAAUGACUCUAAUAUUAAUAUAUCUAUCCAAUUAAUUUAAUCUAAAAUAUCUUUCUUGUUAGUCUAUCCUUAUAUUCUAUAUUCUAUAAUUUUAGAUAUUGUUUUUAAUAACUAUAUGUAUAUUUUGACGAUGUGUUUUGUAUUAUUAAUUUUAUAAUAUUAUAUUUAGUAAUUUAAUUAUAUUAAGAGAUGUUCGAUAUUUAACUUGUAAACAAAAUUGAGCCGACCAAAAUAUUUUAUUCCAUUUCAAUCAACUCUAAUAUUUUAAUAAGAUUGAAAUUUAUAAUAUGAAGUCAAACGUAUGUGUAUAUUAUUUUAAUUUUAAUUAGUUUAUUAAGCGCUAUUAAAAGAUCUACUUAAUUGAAAUUAUUGAUUGUUAAGAAAAUAAUAGCAAAUUGUUUAAAUAAAUAAAUAAAUAAGAGAUUAUUUAAAAAAAAAAAAAACUGAAACAACCAUGCGAUUGCAAUUAUAAUAUUACAGUCAAAGUUUCCGCAAUUUUAAUUUCGACAAAUAGUUGACCUAAAUCUCCUUUAAUGUACAUUAAGCUCAACCAGAAUAUAGAUUCAAUUUCCAUUUCCGUUUACUUCUAAAUAAGUAAAAACCAACGGCCAAUUUCAGGAUAUUUAAACCAACUCCCAACAAUCAAAACAAAAUAACCACUCAUUCAAUAAUUAUGUUUAAAAAAUAUAUUUAUUUUCUAUAGAGAAAAAACUUUAAAAUUAAUUAAAUUUAUUUAAAAAAAACAUCAUUUAGAUAAAAAGAGGAAUAAUUGUUUUGAAAUAAUAAAUUGAUGUGGUGGAAUAUGGUUUUGUGAAAGAAGGUAUAGCUUCUCCACAAAGGAAAGACAGGACAGAGACGACUUGAAAUAUCAGCAAAUUGCAAAUUUUGUAUUCCAUUCUGGUUUUAUCAGAAAUACAAUUGUGUUCUUUUUUUCCCUAGUCCAAUUAAGCAAGAGGGAAAGAAUUGACCCUUGCUUUGCUUGCACCCGUUAUCUGAGUUGGUAUGUUUUCCAAAAACGAUGCAUACCUUCAACCAAUCUACCACAAAGACACCUAAGUUUGGAGGCAACAAUGACCUCAUGAGAAAACCCCUUCAGCUAAAAAUUAAUAUUAAUGUAGCACAGCAGCAGUGCAUGUGAGUUGUGCCACCACCCUUCUCAUACAUCCUACCAACUACUACUAAUCUAACUUUACAUCACGACAAUCUUGUCCUUCAUCAUGGCUGCUUCGUUUUCUUAAACCUUUCCUUUUUUCCUCUGGGACAGUACGAGGCAAGGAAAGUGCUCCUUCUUUGCCAGUUACGUGAGACAUCAUUAUUAUUAGUGUUGUUAUUGUUGUUGUCUUUUUUACACCUCUUGCCUUACACUUGAGCCUCACUUUCGUUUUAAAGGUUGUGUGCUAGAUCAAAAAGUCAAUACAAGGUUCAGGUUGGUGUUGUGUUUAUGUUUUAAGGUUUUUCACUGUUUCUCUAUCUGGGUGUUCUUCAAGUUUGAUUCUUUUCUUCUGGGUUCGUCCUGUCUUGUGAGAAUACCAGUUUUCCUUGCUGGUUAUGGUAUGGUGUUGUAUUUAGAUCCAUAGGCUAAUGCUUCCGAGUUCUUAGAUCUGUCAUUGUGAUUAACGAUUUCCUUGUUGUAAAUAUAGGCAUAUUGAAUAGAAUAUGUAUAUAUAAAGAGUUCGUUGUCAUUCGCGUUCAUUGAACGUCAGGUACCUUGUUUAAAAUAUUGGUAAUGGAGAAAUAGUCAAAGUAAAUGAAUUAUUGACUCUUGACUGGAGUUUGAAUUAGACAUUACUGGCUCUAUUUUCAUGGAAGAUUGGACAGUAAAAAAUUCGUUCUUUUUGUAUGCAUUUGUUGUUUAUUUUUGUUGUCUUUAGUUUUUAACCACCGGCUAAUCAUUAAAAGCUUAUAUAGAAACAUAUAUUUGAUAAAGAAAAUAUCAAUGAUGCAGCUUCAAAAGAUUUGUCUCUAAAUUAUAGGGUUUGAUUUGUUUUUUCCUUUUCUGCUUAUAUAGUUAUAAUUAUAAAAAGAAUGUUCUUUUUACCCUUCACAAAAUCAUGAAGGAAAUGGAAACGAGGUGGUGCUUUUGUAAUUGUUCGUGGAGACAAAUUAUCCUGAAUGGGAAAAAACCAAAUAAAAAAACCUAACUUUUUUCAUUUUCCUUUUUUUACUGCAGUUAAUUUUGGAUCCUGUGGUAAUUGAUCUACUCAUGGGAAUCCAGCUGGUCUUGUUUCUCUUUCUGGCUUCUCUGCGAUUGGGUUUAUCUCAAGAUGUUGAACACGGUUUGAUUCUAGUACAAGGAAUUCAAGCAAUUGCUGAGACUGAUGAUAACUUCAUCUGUGCAACUAUUGAUUGGUGGCCUCAUGACAAGUGUGAUUACAACAAUUGCCCCUGGGGUAAUUCAUCUGCUGCAAAUUUGGUGAGUAUUUUGGACUUGUUUGUAUACAACAUGACUUACGUAAAGAGUAUACGUAUUCUUCCUAUUUCCUAUCACUCAUUUAGAAGUCUAGAAAGCUUUGCAGAAGUUUUAGUCAUUGCUGAAUGUGGAUUGUUUUUUUCAGGACUUGUCUCAUCCUUUCCUUGUGAAGGCAAUCCAAGGUAUUUAUAUUGUAGAAAAUCAGUCACUGUAAUGGAAUUCUUCUACUGUUCUGUUCUGUGACUUCCUGAUGCUGAAUAUACUUUUAUUGUUGGUAACAUGUUUGGAAUAUUUACUACAAGUGUGAUAUCAUUCUUUCCAUAAUGGUUGCUUGAUAGCUCUCAAGCCUUUGAGGAUAAGAGUUGGAGGUUCUUUGCAAGAUCAGUUGCUGUAUGAGGUAGGAAGUUUGAAGUCCCCUUGUCAUCCAUUUCAAAAGAUGAAAGGUGGAUUGUUCGGAUUUUCAAAGGGGUGUUUGCAAAUGAAAAGGUGGGAUGAGCUGAACAAUUUUUUCGAUAAUACAGGGUGAGAAUUUAGCAUUCGGAUCGUUGUUUUAUUCACCAUCUCCCUCCCCUUUUCCUUCCGGCUAAAGUAAAAACGUGAAAAUUGUAAAGCAGUUAAAAUUAGAGUUACAUCUCAGUAACUGGAACUAUAAAAGUUCACAUGCAUUUUGAGUGCUAGCCUAAGCACAUUUGUAGCGUAAGGAAAGAAUAAAAGGGUGAGGAAGAGGUGAUUAUAUGUGGUGUAACAGCGUGAGUUUGAUAUUUGCAGGGCCAUUGUGACAUUUGGUUUGAAUGCACUCAAGGGGAGGCACCCCAGUGGCCAUAAUACAGUUUGGCAAGGAGAUUGGGACUCUUCCAAUGCUUAUGAUUUAAUCAAUUACACUGUUUCAAAGGGGUAUAAGAUUGACUCAUGGGAAUUUGGUAGGACAGAAGACAAAGCUAUUUGGUAUGUUCAAUUUUUGCUUCACUGGAACUGAUUCUUGUCUGUGCUGUCAUAGGUAACGAGUUGAGUGGGAAGGGCAUUGCAGCAAGUGUGAGUGCUGUACAGUACGGGAAAGACUUGAUAAAGCUUAAAGAAGUUUUAAACUCAUUAUACAAUAACUCCAAUUUCAAACCUUUACUUGUAGCACCUGGAGGGUUCUAUUCUAAGGACUGGUAUGAUAAGCUUCUUCAGGUUACAGGUCCAGGCAUAGUCAAUGUGCUCAGUCAUCAUCUCUAUAAUUUGGGCCCAGGUUUGUUUUCAGUUGCCUUACUAUUUCUACUAUAGUCAUCCUUAGAGAAUAGUUUACAUUCUAACAUAACUAGAUGAUGGAUGUGAAAGCAAACAGUUAUACGGAGAGUGUUUUAGUCUAAUAAUUUCUGGUUAGUGUGUUAAGUAAAUUUCUCUUUUCUUUUCUUUUUUUCAGGUAGUGACGAGCAUCUUGACAGGAAGAUUCUAGAUCCCGAACACUUGAGCAAGGUGGAACCAAUUUUUAGAAGUCUUUCAGAAACCAUUAAAAAAUAUGGCCAUUGGUCUUCUGCAUGGGUAGGAGAAGCUGGUGGAGCAUUCAACAGCGGUGGUCGUCAAAUUUCUAACACAUUUGUAGAUAGCUUUUGGUAAUCUUGGUUCUUCCUUGUUUUACAAAAAACAUCAUUAAAAUUAAUCAAGGAGUUCUGAGAUUUAGGUAACUUACAGGUACUUAGAUCAACUUGGAAUGGCAUCCAGAUACAACACUAAGGUUUACUGCAGACAAACUAUAAUUGGAGGAAACUAUGGACUUCUGGAUACCACUACUUUCGUUCCUAAUCCUGACUACUACAGGCAAGUGCAAAUUUCAAAAAUGUAAAUGAAGAGAAAAGGAAUAUAUAUAAAUACGUUUUUCUACAUUCUUGAGUAGUUAUAAUAAUGUAAAAAUAUAUUGCUUUACAUAUCUAAUCUAAGUAUCUCAUAAUGAUGUUUUGAGCAGUGCACUUUUGUGGCAUCGGCUAAUGGGGAAUACUGUUCUUGCAGCCAGUAGUGAUGUUUUUUCACCUUCUUUACGCAGUUAUGCACAUUGUUCGAAAGGCAGAGUAAGUGUCUUAUCAUCUUAUAGAAGCAUAAAUUGGCGAAGGAACAGCAGGAUAUUCGUUCUUCUAUAUCUGAUCUUUGCUUACAAACUUGUAAAAUUUAAGUUCGUAUAACAUCCAACAAUCAUACAUUAUUAUAUGCUAGAUUGAAUUGUAGGUGGGUUCAUAGAAAACCAAGGUAAUAUUAUAUUAUUAACAUCCAUGAAUAGAAUGUUAUGCCAGCAUAAUUGUAGGUAGUUUGAAUUGCACGAUAAGCAUUCCUAUAAUUUGUUUUAACUUGAUUAUACAGGAUGGUAUAACAUUACUGCUGAUCAAUUUGAGCAAUCAGACUGAUUUCACACUGAUGGUUCGUGAUCGAGUGCCUCUGAGUAGUGGAGGACAUGAAAAUGGUACAAGUAUCCAUGUAGAAAAUUCAUUAUUAAAUAAUCUGAAGAGGGCAUUUUCUUGGAUUGGAAGAAAAGGAUCAGAUGUGACAUUCAGGGAGGAGUAUCACUUAAAUGCAAAAGAUAAUUACCUUAGAAGCCAAACCAUGUUGCUGAAUGGUGUUCCCCUAGAGUUGACAAAUGAUGGAGAAAUUCCAACGUUGGAACCACUACUCAUUAGUGUGCACUCUCCAAUACACUUAGAUCCUUUAUCCAUUGCAUUUGUUGUAUUGCCCUACUUUGAUGCUCCAGCUUGUGCUGCUCAAACAAAACUCUAACCCAAAGCCUCCUUAAGUGAAUCUUGUAGACUAUCAAUUAUUAGGACAAUAGAAUGUGACUUGUCAUUAUGUAUUAAUAGCUUAUAUAUACUUGUGUCAAAGUUGUAAUCACAUUUAUACUUUAUUCAAAUUAAUUAAAAUUUAUCUCUAGUCCAUGAAAAAGUUAAACCACUUAAUUUUGUUAGAUAAAAUUUAGAUUAGAGUGAAACUAUCAAUUGUAAAUAUGUUAUCACUUGAUUAAGUGGUUGACUGAGUUUUAUUAUUAUUAUUAUUAUUAUUAUUGAGCAAGUCUUUUGCUUAAUUAUGUUGGUUAUCAAUAAAAUUAUCUUGUUUAAAUAAAAAAGUUUGAUGUAUUUGUCUUUUACCAAUUCUUUUGAUAAAAUAAUAAGCAAUGAUAAUGCAGCUAAAUUAUAUCUAAUUUUGUUAACACUUUUUAAUCAUUAGUGAAAUUACAAGUUUGAUAUAAAGAGUGAAUUUUGACUUCAUUAAUAUUAACUACUGAAAUUAUAAGUUUGACAUAAAUAGAGUGAACUUUGGCUUAAUAUCAACUAAUAAUAAAUGAAUGCUAUUAAGAGAGUAAUGCUACAAAAAUGUAUCAUUGCUCUGAUAAGCUUGUUAUUUACAAAGCCUACUUCAAUUCGCUAAUUCAAUCAAAUCAGAAAUUAUAGUUUUAUACAAUUUUACUGCCAAAAAUUGUUUUACAUACUUAAUUUAAACGGAUUGCUUUUUUGGGAACAGAAAAACCAUUCGAAUCAUGUUUUUUGACCCAACAAUAAAUUUGUGCUAGGUCAAUACUGCAUUGCAAAACAAGGUUUUUGAGAAAUACUAUUAUUCAGUUGCUUGCUUUUGGUGAGGAAAAUUUGAUAAAAAAAAAUUAUUGGAACUACAAUAUAACAUUACUCUUAGUAACUACACUUAAGUGUUUUUUUCUUCAGUGCACACACAAAUAAUAGCACUUUAGGGGAUCCACCCAUAAAAAAGCAGGGUGAGAAAUGAACAAAUUGAAUGUAGUAUUGCAAAAAGAACAGUUGAAUCUGUUGCAAAUUGAAUACAAUGCAACAGAGGUAUAAAGUAAAUGAAAAGAUUGUUUUAUUAUAACAAGUGAUAGAUCCAAAUAAGAAACAAUGAUGAAAGAGGGUAGGGGAGGUAAUAAAAUUUUUAGCAAGUGUGGAAAUCAUUCUUAUUUUCCGAGCAAGCGACGGCCACGUUGAUUAGCACCUUUCAUUCGGAAAUUCAACUCAUCCACAUCAUCGUACAGAUGAUUCAAUGCUUUGUUAUGCCUGCAAGUGCAAUGGCAUUCAUGAAAAUGUUAGGUAAACUAUAACCUUGUUUUACAAGUAUAUUAAAAUCUAGUGUUCAUGAAUCCUUGAGAAGCAAUGGUUAUUCAAUGCGAUACAAGACAAUGUGAUUCACUAACCUCUCAAUCUCGGAUCCCAUGUCAACAGCCAUAUCUUUAAGCUCUCCCAGCAGAUCACUUAAAUCUGAUAGUGCAUCAUCUUGCUUCACUUUUUCAACCUGUUUCAGAACAUUUCAUUUAGUACCUCAAUUCAUUAUUAAAAAUAAACAUAAUGUGUCCAACAGUGACUAGAGUCUAAUGUUAGUGGCAGAAGUAUGAAGAUAAAGUCAGUAAAAUUGGUAACGAUUGUAAAUGAAACUUGCUUGUUGUAAAAACUUGUUAUCUGGUAAUGAGCUAAAACUAUUGUAAGUAAUCAUCAAAACUAGUAACUACAUCAAAAUCAGAUACGAUAGAGAAUAGCAGGUACCACAACAGUAACUAACACAUUAAAUCUUUAAACAACAAUUUAAUCUUCCCCAACUACUUGAUACGAACCUCUACUUUUUCAAGUGCAUUGGAUGGUUCUUGAGGUGGGGUCCGCAGCUUGGACUGCCCUUUGGGGCCAGAUGUCAGUCCUAACUUCUCUCUCUGCUCAAGAUGACUGCCCUUGCUCCUCACUGGGUCAUCUGCAGAUCAUGAACCACAUUAUGUCAAUGAUACAACAAUAAUAAGAACAACAAAGGCUUAUUCCAUUAGGUACGUCCGUUACAUGAAUCACACACGCCAUUUGAUUUGGUUAAAAACCAAAAGGUUUCAAAGAUGCUAAUUAUCAUGUGAUUAUGUCAAUGAUACAACAACAAAAAAUUAAAAUUGCAAAAGAAAACUAUGCGGAGAAGACAUUAACCUCCAACAAUAACUGGGCCUGUUAUUGCUCGUGUCUUCUUUGGUUUCCAAGUUUUGGAGAAGAGGCCACCAAGGCUUCCCAAGAGCUUUUCCCCCUGGAAAAAAUAGUUAGUCAGAUUUAGGGCAGAAUGCUAUUUGAAUUCAAAAGGGGUUUCAUAACAUCACAAUAUUUUCAGCAAGGUAAAACAGCAUGAAGAAGAUUGAUACCCGACUUAAAUCGUGGUCAAUGUCAGCAGCAACAUGGUGACUCCUGGUAAUUUGUUCACCCUGUUGAUGAAGGGUGACUAGUGUUUUGGUGGCAUCCUCUCUUAUAUUCUCUGCAAUCUUCAAACAAUUGUUGACUGAAUUCGUGGUCUCUUCAGCCUUGUAAACAGCAUAACUCUCCAGUUCUUGAACCGAUUGAUUCUCUAAUCCACCUGAAUCGCGAAAAUCAUUCUUGUACCUGUUCCGGUUGGCCGAUUGAAAGGCAUACGAUGAUGAUUUCUUAGUGGCAUCAAUGUCAUCAUUAAAGGGGUUGGUGUUAACUUCCAGCGUAACUAGUGCGCGAUCCGAAGAAGUCUUUCUCGAGGAAGAAUACUUUUUGGUAUUCUUCUCCUCGUCAUCAGAAUCAAAUGGAUUAGUCCAAGAUUCAACAGAACUAGGUUUAGCAUUCUUCAAAUGAGAUUUCUUUGCACCGGACAUUAUCUCUGUUCUUGCAAAAUUGAUUCAGAGGCAGAUUAAGAAGUAAAUUUCUCAAAAUUUGGCUCGACCUAAAAAGAUAACCUAAUUUUUCCCUGCAAAGACAAGCAAGUGCUAUUCAAUCACUGUAUAUGUUCCUCAACAAGCAAAAGAAACCCAAAUAUAAAAUUCUUAUAUCACUUAUCACAAAAGCACUAAUUUUGUCAAGAAACCUUAUUCAUAACUUGACUAAAACUACAGGUUAAUGAUAGAGCCAAAUAAUCGGACCAAAGCGAUUAAGUGUAAAGCAACAUACCAAAAAACGGAAUCAACAACCCCUAACAAUGACAGGGAAACGGAUUUAAAGAAUAAAAAAAGUAAAAAAAUUUCCAACAGAAAAUGAAAUAACAUUUUCUUUUUCAGAAGCCUGUGUAAAAAGAUCAAGAAACCCGAGAUUUUGGGGAAUAGAGCAAGACAUAAGAGCGCAAAAACAGAAGACCCAGAUGGAUUAAAAGGCUUAUUCAAGCAACAGAGUCAUCAAAAUCAAAACUUGUACAAGAGAAAGCAAGAUGGUACCAGAGAGAGGAAAAGUAGUGCUCAGAAAGACUCGUGAAGAAGCACAAAUUUUGAGAGGUCUAAACAACGGAGGAAGAAGAAGAUGGUUUCUAUAAGUUGGUAAAGCCAAAAUCGCGUCAAGAAAUGUCAGAAUUGGAGGGUGGAAACUGCAAAGAAAUCGCAGUGCGCAAGGCAAAAUCGAGAGUGAAAAUUUUCUCUUGGUGGGUUUGUUGAUGCGCUCUUGCACUGUUCUUUCGUUUAUUUAAUUAAAAAAUAUUAUUAUUUGUAUGUUAGUUUAUUGGAGGCGUCGUUUGAAUUGAGACGUUGAAUGGAUCAAGUGGGGACCUUUUGAGAUGCGGUAUGUGGGGGCAUUCCAAACAGCAAAAAAAAAAAUGAAAAGGACUUUUUCAAACGCGAAAAAUGAAAGUCUUUUUUUGGGGUUUUAGGGUUACCAAUUAUUCCAAUGAAAGGGAAAGGAAGAGGAUUCUAUUCUACCUUCAUAUGUGAAGGAAAGGAAGAAGAAUAAUUGGGAUUCUCACUUACACUUAUUCAUAUUUUUACAAAACUUUAAAAUAUUUCUUUAUAUUGAAUAAUAAUACCAAACAAAUUAUUCAGAGAUAAUAAUUUUGUUAGUAUUUUAGAAUAUUUACUGUACUAGAGAAAAUGUUUACGUAUAUACAAUUAUACUAUAAUAUUAAAAAUUAAUGAUAGAUAAAUAUUUAAAAUAUGGAAAUUCUUGCCGGCCAUUGACCUAGUAUUUUGUUGGGUCAAGUGGCACUCCAAAGAUGUCACUGAAACUCAACAACUGUUAUUUAUUAUAAUUAAAUGAGACAAAGAUUGUAACUCUAUCAUUUAUGAUUUGAUUUUCAAUUUUUAUAAAUUAAUUUGAGUAUUUUUAUUUGUGUUUCUAUUAAAACAAGUUAUUGUUAGGUAUUUAGACUUUUAUAAUUUUUAAUUAAUUUUUUAUCAUUGUUAUCUUGCUCACAUGUAUAUUUGUGUUAAAAAUGCGAGAUUUGUAUUAAUAUAAAAUUAUAUUAAGAUCAGUGUAAAAUCAUCCGUGAAAUUUAUUGUUUGUAUUGAAGAUAUAUUGUAUAAUAAAGAUCAUUAUUCACUAGUAACAGUAACAAUUUCUUUAUUGUAGAUAAACAUAUAAGUUAUAAAAUUGGUUUAAAACCUUAAAUCGUCUCUAUUUUUGGGACACUUUCCCAAUUUUAUUCCAUUUUUAUUAAAACUCUCAAUUUAGUCCUCGAAAGACAAAUUGACCCUUUUCGUUAAAAAAAGUUAACGGCGUGAAAUUUUUAGACAGCAAAGUAGAUGAGGUGUUAAUGUAUGCACAAGUGGCUUUUAUAGUGAUGAAACAUGACAUAUAAAUGAUGAAAUGUGGCAUUUAGCAAAAUUACAAUUUAAAAUAAAUAGAUUGUUAAAUAUGAUUUAGGGGUUUAGGUUAAAUUAAUCGUUGAAGCUAGCAGUGGCGAUAUCGCUUCUCAGAUCGAAGAUUCUGAAAAAUGCAAACGAGUCCAGUGCGUUGUCUCCUUCGCAAUCUAACGCUCUUCUUCGUUGGAAGCGAAAGGUUAGACACUUCCUUCGUUUUCAUUCCAAUAAUGCCUUCCAAUCUUCAUUUUUAUCUCACCUUCAGAUUCUCAGGCUAAAGAAAGAAAGCCAGAAAUCUUGAGGCUCAAAGAAGAUCUCAAGGACACUCAAGGUUCGUUCUCAUUUCUCUUGCGUAUAAACUCACGUUCACUCGAAAUCACGGAUUCAUUGAGUUUCUGGAUGAAGAUGCUUCGCACUGCGAUCUGUUCCCGGAGAGUGCAGCUUGCAAGUGCUAUUUCUUCGACAAGGGUUUAAGGUCGUCGUCAGAGACAUAGUCAAUAGUGGCAUCCCCUGAUGAGGGCAAGGGAAUUUGGUUUUCGCCAUUGACGACAGCAGCACGAUCUUGCUGCUUUUGGGUUGCAACAGCGAUCUUGGGUUGCUUUUUGGGUCUCUCUGGUGUUGUCGUUGGGAGAGCGUUGUCGAUGGGUCUAAGAGCCAUUUUGAGUGUUGCAGAGCAAAGAGAUGAUCGAGAAAUUAGAGUGAAUGAGUGAGUGAAAGAUUUGAUGGAUUCCAAGAAAAUUUAAUUCCUUGUAUAAAAAUCACAACUUUUUAGGGCUUAGGUCUAAAAAUGGAAAGAGAAGUGGCAAGGCUUGUUUGAACAGCGGAAGAUUCACAUCGCUGGAGCAACUAGGCAAUCCAUAAAACAAAGGGUUGAUGUGAUUCGAGGUUGAAGCAGUAUCGAUCUGUGGUUAUUUAGGCAGUGAGAACAGAAGAAGAAUUAGAAGAAGAAGACGAUGGUAGAAUCUCUAAACAAAUGCCACGUUUAAUCAUAUUAUUGCCACGUUUCAUCACCACAAGGCCACUUGUGCAUACAUUAACACCUCAUCCACUUUGCUAUCCAAAAAUUUAACACCGUUAGCUUAUUUUAACGGAAAGGGUCAAUUUAAUUGAAAUUGGCUCUUUUGAGGACCAAAUUAGGAGUUUUAAUAAAAAGGGAAUGAAAUUGGGAAAGUGUUCCAAAAAUAGGGACCAUUAAAGAGUUUAAACCUUAUAAAAUUUAUUAUUCAACAUCUUUUCAAUUAAAACAAUAAAAGUUACUUAUAUUUUUAUAUUAUUCAUAAUGUCAUUUUAUAUUGAUAAUGUAUGACAAGAAAAAAUAAUAGUUAACAAAAAAAAGAGUUAAGGGAUAGAAACUCAGUUAAAAAAAAUACUUGAUAAAUAAAAAGGUCAAUAAAAACAUUUUAAUCUACAAAAACUUGAAAUUAAUUAACAAUUUUAUAUACUUUUUAAAGUACAUUCUAUCCUUAAAAAAACAUAAUGACUUUGUUUUAUGUAGUCUCCUGGGAUUUUUUUUUCAUUUCAUGAGUUUAUAUACUUAAUUACUCAAUUAAUAUAAUUUGAAAUUAUUAUCUAUUUUAAAAAUAUUUCAUAAUUUUAAUUCAUACUAAGUGCAAUGUUUUUAAAUCAUAUCGCAAUAAAGAUUAGUGUAUUCAGUGAAAAUCAUUUUAAUAUAUGUUAGUAUUAGUUUAUAUUAUUAUAGGGUUUAUGUUGGAUUAGUUUGUAACAGAAAAUAUUCGUCAACGAAACCAAUACGAGUUUUAAAUUACUCAGGAACGAUAGUUGCAUUAUUAUGGACUGUGAUGCAUUCAAGAUUAAAAAUGUGACAGUACAAUAUUUUGAUUUAAAUACUAUAUUUAUUAAAUAUAACACAAUUAACUAAAAGCAAUUUUAUUAAAUGUCAUAAUAUAUAUAUAUAUAUAUAUAUAUAUAUAUAUAUAUAUAUUCUUGUAUAAUAGUAAAAAUAAAGAAAUAUAGCUUUAUUUAUAAAAUAAAAACAAAAAUACACUUUCUAUUUGGUUCUUUUUUAUUAGUAACAUUUUGUUUCUGAAAAUUAUUUAAUGAUUCAAUUUUAAAUCUUUCAUACUUUGGCCUAUUAAAAUAAUAGAUUUCUUUUUUGUGUGUUUUGCAUUUAGUUGACGCCAUUUAUUAUGUUUUCAUGAAAAAACAAGUCAACGUAAGUUAUAGUCUUACUUUUUUUUCAUAAUGAUAAUUCUACAUUUUUUUUUCACAUACAAUUUUCUUGUAUAUAUUGAGUCAUUGUAUGGCAUAUUAAGAACUCAAUAUAAUUUGGUUUAUAAGAAAAUUAUGAUUUAUUUAUCAAUUUUUAUACAUGGAUAAAUAUUUUAUAUGGACAUUAUCUAUCAUUAGGAUGUGUAGGUAUAUUGAAUAUCAUCGAUUAGGAUGUGUAGGUAUAUUAAAUAUUAUAUACGAAUAUUAUAUAUCGAUUAUAAUCUGUAGAUAAUAUGAACAUUCUAAAAGUGAUGAUUUUUUUUUUUAAAUUAUUGUUAAAAUUUGAUUUUUUUUCAUCCACUUUUAGGUUUUCUUUAGUUCUAUUUCUUUAUUGUUUUAAAAAUAUUUUUUUUUCUCACAAAUAGUUUGGAGUAUUUUCUUGUGACUUUUCAAAUGAAAAUGGUCAUAAAUCUUAAUUAUACAUCAUUGUACUGGAGAUAUCCGGACGGAUAAUACGGCUGGUCUUCGGGAACAAGGAUCGAUGUGUGGAACAAUUGAGCAAACGUAACGGUCCGUUAUUUUAGAGAAGAGUAACUGGACGGUCGGAAACGGACGGUCUGGAAGAUCAAGGUAAGACCAAUUUAGUUAAGGUAAUUGUAUGAUUAAGACUAUGGGCAAGAUUGGGCCCUGAUUAGGACCACCUUAAUAUUAAGCUCAUAUCCAACACUAUAAAUACAAGUCACAGGUACAGGUAAGUGGAUUCAUUUAUUGCGUAUUUAAUUCUGAAUUCUGAUAACCGAUGGACAUUUGAACUGACUUAAACAACGGAAUGUCUUUAGCAGGUAUCCUUCUGGGUCAUAUGUCAGACGAGGAGGACGGACGAUCAGAGAACCAUAGGAGAGACGGGUGGUAGAGAAAGAAGAAAUUGUGAAGGGUUUGUCGGACUCGACACACACCGAAACAAUCAUUUUCUUGAAAUUAUUUAUUAUGGACAAAAAACAUAAUCACCAAAUAUAUAGUUAUUCGCAUUGAGACUAAUUAUCAAUGAAGAAGUUAUCAUGGAUGAAGCAAGUUGGUAAAAUUCACAACUUAUACUUUUAAGAAAGCUUUCUCUUAAGUGACACCACGCAAAAAAUUUUAUAAACAUAACAAAAAGAUUUCCCAAUUUAUAUUGAAAUUUCGUGUGAAAUUUGACAUAUUUGUAUCUGCAUUGAACAUUCAUUUCGUUUCCAAUGUUCGAGGAAAAUAUGAAAUUUGUUUUAUUUUCCUGAACAAAACAAAGGAAUACAUAAAUCAAUAACAAAAGAAAAUAUAGUUUUUGUCUUUAAAAUCAGGUAACAAUAAAAAAUAUAACAAAUGAAAUAACCAUGUUUUAAUAAUGUAAAAUAAAAUAAAAAUUAUUUGUUUAUUAUAUUUUAUGUAUUUUUAAUAAAAAACAUCUUUUUAUAUUAUAUAUAAAUUUUAUUCUUUUAAUAUUAAAGUUUUUGUCGAUAAACUGUAAAGACUGGAAAAUAAUUGUUUUGGAAGUGGAUACGUGGCAGCAAGUAAUUGGAGUUGAAUAUUUAAGAAUUUCAGAAAAUGGUUAAAGAGUAUAAAAUCACUUUUGUUCAAAUGUUCCUCCAGUUUUGAGAACACUUUAUCCACCUUCACAAUAACAUCCUUUCUCUCCUCUGUUCGCUUCCCAAAUUUCUUUCUUCACUGAGCCAGUGAACUUCUGAUCAGGUGGUGCUCUAGCAAGCACAACAAAACGGACCUUGUUUUCACUGAUCAAUUUCCCAUUUCUUCAACCGGUAGGUACUCUUCCUUUUCUCAAUAUAUUUUGGAGCUGUGAUCAUGCAAUGGAACUAGUUGCAUGUAGCUUCUAAGUAUUUUUCCCCAAUUCUUAACCCAAUGCAUGUUCUAAGAAACUGCCUUCUAUCAUCAAUUGAUGAUUUGUAGGUAUUUUAAGUUUUCUCACGGUGCAAAGGAGGCUAGAGGGAGCAUCCUGUGAAACAGACUGGUUUAGUUAGAGAUAAGGGGAACUAGUAAUUCAUAUCUUGGAUUAUGAAUUUGAAGUUUUACAUGCACUGUGAAUCUUGUGUGAAAAUCUGUGAAAUAAUAGUAGUAGGCAAGUUCUUGGUUCAUUAUACUGUUUUGAGUUGUAUUUAAGUGACAUGAGAGUAUGAGACUUUGUGCUGUUAAAUUCUAGAAUGAUUUUGAACAUAACUAUUGAUGAUUGAGUAUACAUGAUUGUAAAGCUGGAUUGUGAUUCGUGAGAUGAUUUAUUUGAUUCAUUGCAUCCAUAAACAGAAAACUAGUGAAUUAGGUAAAUUAGGUUGAAAUUUAGGAACUAGAGUAGUUAUAAUUUGAAUCUGGUAAGAGGUACUGUUUUGGUCAAUUUAUAACCCUUAGACAAGUCACAUAUGACUUAUAGGAUGAGUCAAAAUGGUCUAAAAUAACUGGUAAGUGGUAAAAUUAGAAAUUGCUAUCUAAGUUCAUGGAAUUAAAGUUUUAGAAAUUAAAUUCAUGCAUAACAGUUAAGGAAUCAACUUAUGAUUAGUUAGGAACAUCUAAACAAGUUCAAUUCAUCAUACAGAUCAAUUUAGGAAGGUUAGAAGUUAAUAAAAAGGUCUAGAACAAAUUUUGGGUGUGUGAGUUCCUAAAAUCUGCAGAAAUUCGCUCUGCAGAUUAUGCAGAGUCGCACAGCACACUCUGUGCGCUCUGCGAAUGACUUUUGGCAGACAAAAUUCGCUCAGCGCACCACAGGGUGUGCGCUCAGCGAAUUUUCUGCGACAGGUUGUGUAUUUUUUAUGCUUUUGACAUUUUGGGAGCUCCGGACGUCCGUUUUGGACGUUCUUUAGGUCGUUCUGGGGGUUUUUGACCCUUCCGGAUCCAUUGGUGAGGGUCUCCAAGCUGUUUGAAUUACUUAAGUAUAGGUAAGUAUAGUUGAUAAAGAAAUGAGUAUUAAUAAAUGAUGUUUCUUUGAAGAUAUGUAAUGUAUGAGUUAUAUAUGUUUAUUAUGCUUCUGAAUGAGAUUGUAUGAUUGAUUGGAUGAGGUUGGUGAAGUGAAACAAGAUUGGUGAUAUGGAUUAUGGACUUUGAGAAUUAUUCUAAGAUCUCUAGGUGAGAUCACUUUAGUGUAUGAAUGAAUAUUGAGGCUCCUUCAAGGGAGGUUAUCCCUAAUACUCUGACGGUCUUUCAAUCUCAAAUAGAGAGGAUCGACACGGGUGGUGAGAGUAGUGGGAAGUCCUAGGGUAGACGCUUCCACUGUAGGUCUAUUCCGCGGUAACGGACUCGCCUUGUGUGUGGUCGGGUGAAACCCCUCGGCAAUGGCUUUGCAAAGCAGUAGAGUCCACCACAAGUGCAAAACCUGCCCAAGAUCAAUAUACAUUCCUAGUCCGGACGAGUCUAGGUCAAUUAGGAAUUAUAUAUGUUUGAAUGGUGGUUGCUUGAAUACUAUGCUUCUUAAAAAUGUAUUAAACUUGUAUUGUUGUGAAUACUAGCUCACCCUUGCACUUGUAUGUUGUUUGUUUUGUAUGUUCCUGGUCUUUCCUCUUGCGAUGAUCAUCCUGCUAUGGAUGUGAGAAGAUGCAGCUGAUGACACUCCACUGGAGCAAGCACUAGAUAGUGGCAAUGCGACUCCUAGCUCUUAGCUUUUCUUUAGGUUUUUAUUAGUUUUCCUUCGUUGUAUUUUGAAAGACUUUAUAUGUAAUUGUAAAGCUUUUAAAUUUCUCUGAUUUUGAAUGACUGUAUAACUAAACACUCAUCUAAUACAUCUAACUGUUUUCCAUUAUUAUGGUUGCUUGCAUUCUAUACUUGUAUAUGUUUGGUAUAUAAUUUGGGAUGUUACAUAAACCAUUUUAAAUAAAGUAAGAAAAAUAAAUAAAAAGUUAUUAAAAACGAAUAAAAUAAAUAUUACUCAAUAAAAAUAAAAGGAAAAUUAAUAUUUAUACAAAGUUAAAGAAAAAAUCAUUAUUAUUAUUAAAAAUAUAAAAAUUAUUAUUAUUUAUUUUAAAACUAGAGAAAUAUUAAUUUACUUUCCUAGAAGAGAGGAGGUAUUUAAUUUUUCUUUUACUAUAAAAAAAAUAAAAAUAUCCCAAGCUUAGGGUUUCCGUUCUUUUUCUAGCAGUCCUACCACUGUUCCUAUUUCCAAAUCGCAGUUAACACCCGAAGGCUGAGAGCAGCACUGCGAGAAACACAACCAACACUGCCGCCCAACCGUUGCCGAAACACUGACACACUUCGUAAUUGUUAGAGUCUCUCCUUUCGUGGAACAAUUGGAAGGCAGAAUGGGUGGGAGGAAGAAGAAGUUCAUCGACAAGAAGAACUCUGCCACUUUCCAACUCAUCGCUCGCGACUCCUCUGACCCUUCUUUUUCCCAAUCCGACCGCGUCUUCGUCCGCGUCGACAACAACCCCGUUUCCUUCCCCGACGCUGAAGACGCCGGCUUCGACGAUGCUACUGGUGACUACGGCGACUACGAUGGAGUUAGCAGUGGCUCAUUGCCCGAGGACGUCAGGAAGGAAAUUCUGGAGCUAGGGUUUCCGGAUGAUGGUUAUAACUACUUGAAUCACUUGAGGGAAAUCAAGAAUACUGGCGCUGGUGCUGCUUUCUUUCACAACCCCAAGUUCAAGCUUCAACAUCUCCCUCGUGAUGUUAAGGUGCUCCCACCUUUGUCUCUCGUUUUUUGUGGCUUUUAGAUAGGUCUGUGUUUUUUAUUUUCGUUCCCGGUUCAUCGGAUAUGUGCAAAUAAGAAAGGAAGCGUUUGUUUUAGGGUGUGAUUUUUGUGGUCGCAGGAAUACUAUACCCAGUGAUGUAUUCCCAUAAACAGGCUAGGUUUGAAUACUUAAUUUUAGAAAAUAAAAGUUAAAAAAUGGCAAAUAAAUUAAUGGAAGAAAGAUAGCCUAGCAGGAACAGGCAGUUAUAUUAUUGUUUAACAUGACACUCACCCUUUUUGAUGAUAGAAACAGUUCAAAUUGUGAAUGUGUACUUUUUCGCUAACAAAUGUAGGACUAUCUGUUCUCAUCUUCACAUUCCCUGGAAUAAUGAAAGAUGACAUCAAACGAACAUUCCCACCCAAAGUUAUAAUUCUAUUUGUAGUUGUGCGAUUGAAGUUAUGGAUGCGUUUGGCAUUUUGUAAACUCAAACACGGCCUUAGUGAUUUUUGUUUCGUUUAGCAUUUAAAUUGUGAGGUCUACGAUGUUAACAUUGAAGCGAUGGAUUACUAGGUUGCUUGUUGAAGUGGAAACUGAUUGUUUGCGUUUUUUUCGCUGGUGAGUGUAGGCAUAUGAUGCUUCGAGAUUGCAAAUUUCUGAGUCCCAUGGAGAGCCCGAGGAGAAUUCUUUGUACAGUGUCGCAUCCAAGACUACCAGCGUAAGGGUGCAGAAGGCGGUUGAUCCUGAAGUGGCUGCAUUGCUAGAUGACAGUGACGUGUCACGGUUGGGAUCUGAUGUUGAGGAUUUGGAAGAAGACUUUGUUCUUCAGGCAAAUCUCCUUGAAGAUGAUGACGAAGAGAAGAAUCGUAUUUGUAAUAAAACAAGUUUUCCCGAGGAAUCUCUGGUAAAUAGAAAUCCAAACAGUGCACAUGCACUGCAAGUUUCUGCCCAUUCCAGAGAUACAGAUGAUUAUGAACCUUUUCAUGGGGUAACAGAUGGUGUACCAGGGGUGGACUGUGUUGGUGAGAAGCCAAGACCUCGUCGUUUGCUGGAUGAGCAAUUUGAUUUGGUGAGUUUUCCUAUACAUAACAUUUUGUUCUGUGUGUCAAUACUUUGGUCCUCUGUUGCUUUCUCUUUAGGAAUCAAAGUAUUUAAUGAGGCAUGUCGAGCCUCUUUCUUUCCGGUAUCUGAAGAGGAUACAUUUGCCAAAUUUUUCCGUUGCUAUAAUUGCAAGUAUUAUGUCUUUAUUGAAUGUCCGUGCCUUUUAGCCUAUGUUUCUCAUUCUCUGCAUAUUUCUGUCACAGCUUGAACGUCAAGAAUAUGGAACUGAUGAUGAUGAAGAUGAUGGUGAUUAUUAUGAAAAUUAUCAAGCCGAUGAAGAUGAGUCCCUUGCUGAGAAGCUCAAACACUCUCUUAAGAAUCAUGGGAUGGAUGAUCUAGAACUUGAUGAUGAUAAGUAUAAGGUUCCUGCAGAUUUAUUGAAGAAUAAAGAGGCCCCACAGGAGGAACAAGACGAUUCUGCUGCUGAUGUGAUCCGCCGUUGCAAGGAAUACGCCGAGGGGUAUGAAGUUGAAGAUGAGGACAAGGAUGUUGUAGUUGUACAAGAAAGUAGUGAUGAAUCAGAAGUUUGGGACUGUGAGACUAUUGUUUCAACAUAUUCUAAUUUAGAUAAUCAUCCUGGAAAGAUUGAAGCACCUGGAGUCUCUAGGAAAAAGAGAUUGGCUCAAACUGUGUCUGCAGUCUUGGGGUCCUCUGAUCAAAUAAUAUCCCUUAGAGGAAAAGAGAAACUUCCUGUAGACUUCCUUCCUGGAAGUAGGAAAGCUUCCACUGAAAAGUCUAAAGGCCAGAGCAUUACAAAAACUGAACAGAACAAGAGAAAACAACAUGGCCUUGAGACAAAGGAGGAGAAGAAAGAACGGAAGGUAUCUAUAUUGCCUACUUGAUUCUAUUGAUACCUAUGUUGAUGUUUUCCUUUUAUAUGCAAUUCUUAUUAUUACCACUUAGAAUGACAGGAAUGAUUGGUUGUGUUGUUUUGUAGGCUGCUGUGAAGGAGGAACGACGUGAGGCACGUCGCACUAAAAAAGAAACAAAAGAGCUUUAUAGAUUUGAAGCACAUCGGGCACAGAGGGCUGCUGCUGUGUCUGGUCCUUCUUCCAUUCAUCUUCUGUAAGUCUUCAAAUUGUCAAUUGGCUUAUGACUUUAUACAAAAAUGGAAUGCAUUGGUUCCUACAUGUAUGCCUACAUUAUAUGAAACCUUCAGUUAAAAGGUGAAAGUAGAUCAAUAUCAUUAGACAAGGCCACAGGUACUGUUAUGAUAUGCCCCAAUACUGUAUAAGCAGAUAUCACAAUACAGGGAUAUGACAGAUAGAGUUACAGAAAUAAGGCAUUAAUGCUAGUACAGUGGGAUUUAUUAAAUGUUGUAUUUAUUAAAUAGACACAAAUAUUGUAUAUAUAUUGAUAUUCAAAGCUAUCAAAAUCUAACAAAUUUGACUUUUAUGGGGGCCGGGGGAUUGGCUUUUCAGUAAGUUUUAGAGACAUUUUUCGGUGGCUUGAAUUGUUUCAACUUGUGUUAAGUUCUUUCACUUUGCUUUGAAAUGUGUUUCAGGCGUAUGAAUUAUCAAUCAUGAUUUAAAUGGAUAAUUUCGAUUGCAUUAGCCUGAAUCCUAUGCUUAUGAUGGUUUCGCGUGUUUUUUUUGAGAUGUAUUAUUGUUUGAGUGCUGUAUCCUUCCUGGUAAGAAAAAUAGGUUUCUAUCUGAUAAAUAAAACUUAUAAUUUUAUAUGCUGGUCAUGGCUCGCACACCUCGUUAACAUGUACUGGUUCAUCAAAAAAUAUAUUCGAAUUUUUGUGCUUGUAAAUUGACUUGUAGCGUGCCCAGUGCUCACGCUAUAUGGUUGACUAGGAUAGGGAUGAUUACAAACUUUGAAUUUCAAUAGAUGCCAUGAAAGGAAGACAUCAUUUUGUGUCAAUUCUCACUUUAAUUGCUGUGUCCAGAUGCCGUGGCUUAUGUGUUUUUGUUAGUGUUGACUUUGUUUUCCUAUCAAUCUCUGUAGGUAAGUUAACAGUUAGAAGUACUGGCAUGUCACUCGUGCGUGUCUGCUGUUCCGCCUUUUUAAAGCUUUCGAGGUUUGAGGAUGCUUCGCACAUGGCUGUUGAGUCUUUUCACACAAGCAAGAAUGUGCUCGGAGAGUUUAUUUGCUAUUCUUAUUCAUGGUUUACCAAUAAUCUUUAUUUUGUUAUUGGUGAAGAAGUUAUUUUAGUGGCUUUUGUUUUUUAAAACAAAGUACGGCAACAGUAUGUACGUUUUAUUUUGGCCUUAAUUAUACAGGAGGGUACACAAAUAGUUUGAUUAUUCUUCUGAGUUGAGUUAUAUGAUUUACUGAUCAAAGGCUAAGAAAAAUAUUUUAUGCCUUUGGUCAAAUAUACUAUGAUAUAUGUAACAGCCUACUUUACUUAUUUAGAAAAUUUUGGAACUUUGGAGUUCUGUUCCAAAUUUUGAAUGUUCCAUUAUGUGACAAACUGGUCUGGUGGAGUACUUGGCCGAAUUCCGUAGUUCUUGCACAGAAUUCGUACAAUGAACAACUGAGCCUAUUACCAUAGACACCCCAAAAUCCGCUUAACAUGAAGCUUUUCCUUCAGCAGUUGAGCAAAACUUAACAUGUUAUUUGAUGACUAAGAAUAUUACUUGAAGAUAAACAGGAAUGAUUACAUUUUCAAUGUGCAUGAUCCUUUAUAUAUUAAAUCGCACAUUCAUGAGGAAUAAAGAGCUCUACGGGGCUUUUGUACAAGUAUCGGAUGUUUUGAAGUCUCCAAUAAUAAAUGCCAAUUAGUUACUUUUGAACUAGUUUUAAAUCUAAGCUGUCAGAAGUCAAUAUUAGCAUUUGUAUAUGUAUCUCACUCCGUUCAUGUUAAAAGAGUAACAUUUUACCAUGCCUGCUUUAUACAAGAACAAAACUCCUACAAGUUUUAGAUAGGAAAAUUCUAUACGAACAUCAUUAAAUUUGACUAUCCCUAUCUAACAUCUAAUAAAAGUUAAUACUUUUACUCUUUUAUUUAAUUAUUUUUAAGGUAUUUUAUAUUUUAAAAUAAAAAUAUAAUUUUAUUGAUGAUGUGUAGGUAUAGAGGAGAAAUGGAAGUGCCCAUGUAUCUAUCAUGGAUAUUUUUAUCGACAUUGUGAAUUAAAGAUGAAACUUGAUGUGGUAAAACGUAAGAAGAAAGGAAGGAAGGACUGUGUUAAUUAAAGUAAGAGGCACGAGGCAGGCACAUGACGUUCGCUUAUCCGACCCAAAGUAGAUAACAAAUGAGAGAGUGGGAGUGAGGCAGAACCAAUAACGAGAAUCCAACUCAGCUUCUUCACUUUCCUCACCUUAUCCACAAUCCACAACACUCUCCUUAGUUAACAACCACCAAUCUGCCUCUAUCAGAAUCUAAAAACCUUUCUUACUUCUCUUACCACCCUACACUCCAUUCUCACACACCCUUUCCAAACAUCCAACCAUGUCGCUCACAAUUCCCACCAAUCUAUCCAAGCCUGCCGCCCUCCGCCCCAAACUAGGCUCCAAACUGCGCCCCACCAUCGUCUGCAGUGCUACUCCCAACAACAACUCCGACAACAACAACAACAUAUCCUCCGAUCUGAAGGCCUUCUCCGCCGCCCUCGCCCUCUCCUCCAUCCUGCUCUCGGCGCCGCUCCCCGCCGUCGCGGACAUCUCCGGUCUGACCCCGUGCAAGGAGUCCAAGCAGUUCGCAAAGCGCGAGAAGCAGUCGAUAAAGAAGCUGGAGUCAUCGCUGAAGCUGUACGCGCCGGACAGCGCUCCCGCCCUGGCGAUAAAGGCGUCGGUGGAGAAGACGAAGCGGCGGUUCGACAACUACGCGAAGCAGGGUCUUCUGUGCGGCGCCGACGGGCUACCGCACCUGAUCGUGAGCGGGGACCAGAGGCACUGGGGCGAGUUCAUCACUCCUGGGUUCCUAUUCCUGUACAUCGCCGGGUGGAUCGGGU